CUCUCUAAUUGGGGUGCCAUCUACAGAUAAGAUGAUCCUCUGGGGAUUCCAUAGAAUGGUAUAUGUGUGGAAAUCUGCAGUUGGGUCAAACCACAGAUAGAAUUGCUGCUCUCUGUUGCCUUUGCCUUGGCUGAACACAUUAGUGUGGAGGAUGUAAGGAUCGCCACUCAAAUUCCCCAAGAACUCAAAAUCAAUCUCAUCCCAAGUGGACCCAUUUGAUUUCAACUGCAUAUUCAAUUUCAAAAUCCACAAUGUUAGGACUAGAAUCACAUAAUUGAAAUAAUUAGCAGAAACAGUACCAAAAGAAAUGAAAAACAUACAUAAUAGGCGGUGACAGUGCCAGCAGAGUUGCCAGGGACAAGCUUGAGCUGCAUAUCAAUCUUUGCAAAGAGAUACUCAUUCCUGGACUGAAAUCCAGAGCCAGAAGCUUGAUCAAGGGAGAGAGUGAGAAGUUGUCCAUUGUUGAGAAUCUUAGCUCGGCCGUCUCCCCAUGUAAUAUCAAAAUCAUUAUAGAAGUUGCUGGCGGAAGAAACCAUCAAAGAGGAGACAAGAACAGACAUAAACAGAGAAAGCACCAUGUUUGAAGAGGCUAUAUUUUGCUGUAAGAAAUCGUUUUAGCUUUGAAAGAGGAGAGAUGUGUUUGUAGAGAAGAAUGGGUUGGGUAGCAUUUAUAGUGGGGAAGGGACGAGUGAAAAGAAGAGGAAGGACGCAGGAAAGGGCAUGGGGGAACUGGGAAGGUCCCAUGAGCAUAGCUGUGCACAGGUGUUUUGAUGAUGCUUAUAAUAUUAUGUGAUAGCUGUAAAAUCGCACUACCAAACAUGUCCAAUAGUAUAUCAUAUGAUAGAUACGCGUCUCAGGCUUUUGGUUGGAUCUCAUAAUGCAUUCUUGGCAACCGACAAGAAGAUGAUACACGAAUGGAAAACUAUAAAAUUAAUGACUAAUUUUAUUUAAUUUUUAUUUGCUAAUAAAAAUUGUAUAAUUCAAUAUAUUUUAGAAAUUUUAAAUUAUAAAAUCCUAAUAAUGUGAGAUAAAAAUAUAUUAAUAAUUUAAUAUUAUGCUAAGAAAGAAGUAUUUUUAUUUUAAUGGGCUAAUAAAAAUUAAAUUAAUACUAAAUUUCAACUUCUAAAACUAUAAUAAAGAAUAGGAAUCUUAACAUAAUUUUAAACUCAAUUUUAAAACAAAAAUUAUUCUUAUAUUAUUUAUAUAGGAAUAAUAUAAUAGAUUAAAAUAAAAUUAUGAUUUUAAUGGAAUAAAAUAAAAUGAUAUAAAAUAUUAAUUUGAAUGAUUGAAUUUGGAAUUUCUAAUGAAUUUUUAAAAUUAUUUUUUGGUAAAUUUAAAAUAAUAAUUUUAAUUCUAAUGAAAUAUAAAAAUUCAUGCAAUCAAUUUUAAUUAAGAGUGAAUAAUAUUUAUAAAUUUAUUACUAUAAUAGAUAAUUAAAUUUAAUUGAUUGAAAAUUAUUAAUAAUAAUAAUAUAUAAAAAUUAAUAAAAAUAUAAAAAAUCAUGAAAUAUACGCACGUUAUAAAAAAUAGUAAUAAUAAAAAUAGAACAAGGCUUUCUCCUCAUGAGGCACAGUUUUUUCUAUUGUCGAGAACGCAGCUUCAAUUAUUCUUUCUCAAGGGUGGUUCUUUUUCUCUUGUCGUUCAAGUAAAUUGUAUAGGUUUUUUCUUUUUUUUUUUUGUUAUUUUGUUAUGCGGGUGGAGCUUCUUCUCGACGGAUGUUUUAAAUCCUUUUAGUGGUAAGGGUGAUUUAAGGUUGAUAAUAUAAGAUCUAAAAUAAUAAGAUUUACAGUAGUUAUGUGAGUUUGGGUAGAGAGAAGGGUAUUUUUCUCCUUUUAUUUCUUUUUAUUUGUCCACUAGUAACGCCUAACGGUCUUUCUGCUACAGUACUAUCUGUUUAUGUCAUACAGGUCUGUACGUACGGAAGCGUCAGACUUUCUCUUCACGCCAAACGACCAUUUAAUUCCUCUGGUGCGAGUGUGGGCAGGACUGUGAAGUAACUGGACCUGCUGACUUUCUUCAUGUCACAUCACCGGUAUGAGUGACUCGGCCUGCUCCGUGUACUUAGAUCAAGGCUGAAAGUAUUGGACCGGUUUGCGUGAAAGAGUUUCGGAAGCUUUGGACUUGAUUCGUUUUUUUGGAUCUAACCUUCUCCUACGUUGCUGCAGCCCGGUAGACAUCAAAGGUGAGAAUUUUAUUUUAAUAAACAUGUAAUCUCUAAUAGUCGUAUACUGGGCAUGUCAUUUAUUAGGAGUGUGUAUGAUUCUUGAAAGUUUUAAAUUAAAUUAAAUUAAAAAAUCAUAUUAAAUCAUAUAAAAAUAAAAAAAUAAUUGAUAUAAUAAGAAAUCAUAAUGAUCUAAUCUAGUUAUUUGAUUUUUAUUAAGAUUCUUUGUCAAGCAUCGCACAGAAAUUGUAUUAAAUUUAGGGUGAUUUACGAUUUAGUCCUUGGGUAUUGCCAUUAUUAACGAGUCAGUCCCUGUAUUUUUAGAAACCUAUUAAAACGUCCUUAUCUUUUCUCUCCGUCAAGGAAAUAGUCCUUCUGUCUAUUUUUGCCGUUAAAAAUGUAGUAAAAGACCAAAUUGCCCUCCUUCUUUUCCUCUUUCUCCUCCUUCUCCUUCUUCUUCAUCGAUUCUUCCUCCUCCUUCUUCGAUUCUUCACUUCUACUUCUGCUUCUGCUUUUUCUUCACUUCUGCUUCUUCUCCUUCUUCUUCUNNNNNNNNNNNNNNNNNNNNNNNNNNNNNNNNNNNNNNNNNNNNNNNNNNNNNNNNNNNNNNNNNNNNNNNNNNNNNNNNNNNNNNNNNNNNNNNNNNNNNNNNNNNNNNNNNNNNNNNNNNNNNNNNNNNNNNNNNNNNNNNNNNNNNNNNNAUUCAUAUAAUUUAAGUAUAACUAUCCUUCCUAAUUAUUAAAUAGUUAUUAAUAAUAUUAUAAAAUAAUUAUAUAUUCUAAUAAAUUAUUAAAAAUUUUUAAUAAUAUAUUUUAAAUAAUUUAAUUUGUUAAUUAUAGCUUAUACUGCCUAAAUUUUAUAUAUGUGUUUAUGUAUAUAUACUUAUUAUUUCGGCCAUAAAUAUAUUAAUUAUUUUAUAAAUUUUAAUUGUACGAGUGAAUUAUAUAUAUUAGUAAUAUAAUAUAUCUUUAUAUAUUAAUUAUAUAAUAUAUUUUAAUUAAAAUUAUUUAAUUAAUCAUUUAAUAUAAAAUACUAUAAUAUUCCUAUGGACAAUUGUACAUAAUAUAUAUUAAUAUUAAUAAUAUUAUUGUUUAAAUAUUAAUAUUAAUAUUAUUAUUAUUAUUUUGAUGUUAAUUAAUUAUCUACUAUUUUAAUAAAAAUAUUAUAAUUUUAUCUGAAAAUGUGAAGAUUUAAACUGAAAUUAAAAUUAAAAUUAAAAUUAAAACUAAAAUUAACUAGAAAUUACUUAAAAUUGUAUUGAAACCGUACUAAAAUUUAGUACCAAAUAUAGUUCUUAAUAAUUAAAAAAUCGAAAAUUUAGUUCCAUUUUUAUUCUUAGCAAAAUGAAGAGCUCUACCUUGAUUGAUCGUGACUUCCAAAGCCAAUAGCACCUAAGAGCUCUACCCUCUCUUUCCUAGCCAAUCUGAAGCAUUUGAUUAUGGUUUGACUUGUUUCUGGUGCCCAGCCUUCGUCUGUGCUUCUUCUAUUCUCCAUGGCCUAGAUCGUUAUGAGUAGAAGACACACAUUUCCUUCCUAGCUUGGAUUUCUCCAGGGUCAUUUUUCUAAGACAAGAAAGCUCUAUUUAUGGACUUCACUAUAUGAAAUUAUCUAUCUCCAUAUAUGAAAUUAUCUUUUCACAGAAAUUUUUUUUUUUUAACAGUUGUAAGAAAUAAACUGUUUUUUUUUUUUAAUAAACGAAUAUUCCUCCGUUCUAUAAUUUCUACCUAUCUUUUUUAUCUCAAAAUUAUUAUUUACUUUCUUUUAUUAAAUUAUAAUAACAUAUAAAUUAACAAUGAUAAUCCUAUUUAAUUUUAUUUCAUUCUUAUAAAAUUUUUCAAAAUAUUUUUUAGUAUUCUCUACAUCUCAUAAUUUUUGUCCACUUUUCUUUUUUUAUUUGUUCUAAAAUUAUUAUUCACUUUUAUUUUUUAAAAUAUAAUUACAUAUAAACUUACUAUUAUAACCCAUUUAAUUUUAUUAAUUUUUUAAUUAUACUCAUUUUAAUGUGUGUGAAAAAGUAAAAUAAAUAAAAAUUAUGAAAUGGAAGACGUAUUAUUCUAAAUGUGCAAAGUAAAAAUAUUAAAUAUUUGUGAUUAAUAUAUCUAAGUUUUUAUAAAAUUAUAGAGGAAUAGCUGUACGUGUAAUAUUUCAUUUUAUUUAAUAUUAUCAAUAUAAAAUAUAAUUUUUCAUAUAUUAAAAAUAUGUACACAAUAAUAAUAAUAAUAAUGAGUAUAAAUCUUUAAUGAAAUAUUUUAAUAUAUAAUAUUUAUAUGUUAUUUAUGUAGUGAAAAAUUUAUUUAUAAUAAAUAUUUAUUUAAUAUUAUCUUGUGAUAAAUAGAAAAUAAAUAUACUUUUAAUAUAAAAUUUAAAUUAAAAGAGUAUACGUUUAUUAAUAUAAAACUUUAGGAACUGUAUUAUUAUUUGCUGUUAACUUUUUCAUAUUCAAUUUCAUACUCUUUAUUAUAAUUAUAACAAAUUGAAAUUGAAAAAGAUUUAAUUUUAUUAUUUAAAAUUUAAAAUUUUAGAUAUAAAUAUGAAUUAAUAUAAAUGUUUAAAUCUUUUUUAUCUAAUAGAUAUUUUGAAAAAUAAUUUUAUGUAGCAUAACAUACGUAGAUUAUAAAUUUUUUGGUCAAAAUUAAUUAAAUCAAAUAGUUAAAAUUGAAGUAAAUGUAAAAAAAUUGAUUUUAUUAUUCAAAAUUUUAAGAUUAAAAUAUAAAUGUUAAAAUUGGUAAAUGUUUAAAUAAAUCUAUUAAUUAUAGCAUUAUUUUACACUUAUACUUUAACAUUAUGUUUGAGUGGAAGUGUUUGAAUGGAAGUUUUUGGAAAUAAUGUCUUUGUUUUAAAGUAAUAUUUAUAAUUGGGUUGAAGAUUUUUUAAGAAAUGUAAAGCUUUUUGAGCUUUAAAACUAUUAAAAAUCUCACUUUUUCAAUCCGUCAAAUUCAAAUAUUAACAAAGUUUUGAUACUUUAUAUUCUACCACUUUAUUUUCUUUCUAUAGAAGCUCCUUUCUCUCCCUCUAAACACAUUGUAAUAUAUAUAUAUAUAUAUAUAUAUAUAUUUUUUUUUUUUUUGAUGACCGCUGGGUUUCACCACCCCAAUAUAAGGCCUAGCCCAUGAUAGCGGCCUUGAUCCAAAGGUCAUGGAGCCCCUUCAACGAGCUGGCAUGGACUACCCAGCCUUGAGGUCGGGCCUCCCGUGGACCUCAGCCCUUUCAACACCAAGCUCGGCCCUGGAACGUGACAGGAGAAAGCACAACAGGCCCAGUCACCUUGCAGCCCUGUCUACACGAGCGCCGGAGGGAAUUAAAUGGCCGCCUAGCGUGGAGAGGGCGUCUGACGGUUCCGUACGUACGGGCCUGUAUGACAGAGAUAGAUGACACUGUAGCUGAGGGGUCGUUAGGCAUGGCUAACAGACAAAAAGGAAAGGGAUAUAGGGGAGAGGGCACCUUCCCCUCACCCAAGUUGACCCAACCAUUGUAAACCUAUUUUUCUCUGGAUCUCAGAUCAUCAUUUGGCGCUGUCUGUGGGAAAUGAAGGAGAUCUUUUCAUCGCCGGAGUUCCACUCUUACAAAACCCAUUGAGAUCCACAAAUGGCCAACCAUAGCGAAAACAACAUUGCUAAUACCCCCAAUGACCUGAGCUCCGCCCAGAGAGGCAACAGUUCUCUUUUUCCAGUCCCAUAACUCCCAACGACCAACCACCAGUCCCUUUUAAUCCCUCGCCGAACUCGGCAGGGAAUGUGCCCGGAGCUACCCUAUCCAACCAGGACCUACAAGCUAUGGCCAUUCAUUUACAAAACACCGCUCACUGGCUGGGACAAAUGAUGCAACAGAGGGGCCUCAGUACCCCAGUGAACGUGUUGCCUGUGGUAGAAGAGCCCCGAACCAACGAACCCCAGCCUACUUUCAACCAUCCUCAAACAAAUAGCAAAGAAAUCGGAGAAAGAGGCAAAAGAGCCAGUGAAGAAGAAGAACCGGAGGCUAGAGCCCAUGGAAGGAGGGUAAGGGAGCUGAUAGAAAAUGAUGAAGCAGAGAGUUACUCGGCCAGAACAACCAGGAGGACAGAAAGUGAAGAGUGGGAGGAGGAAUAUCGUUUGGAGAAGAGGCCCAGACAAGAGGAAGAAAGUGUGGAUGAGAAACUGCAGAGAAUGAGAGACAGCUCCUAGCUGAAUUGGGGGCGAAGGACCCCAAGCAGGCCCUCUUACCCGCGUCCUCGCCUUUCUCGAAAAGGGUACAGCAGGAAACUAUCCCCAAGAAAUUCAUGAUGCCACCUAUGGCGGCGUAUGACGGAGCUGGAAACCCAAGGGAGCACGUCCUCAACUACAAAACCUUCAUGGAGCUGCAGACCUUAUCGGAUGCCUUGAUGUGCAAGGUAUUCCCCACUACGCUCACGGGGCCAGACGGGCGUGGUUCAACAGCCUAGAAGUUGGGAGUAUCAGGAGCUUUGGAGAUCUAGCCAACGUCUUCAUUAGCCGGUUCAUAGCCGAAGUGCCAGCUGACAGGAAAACCAGCUAUUUGGAGACAGUCAAGCAGAGAAGAAAUGAAUCGUUAAGGGAGUAUGUAGCCCGUUUCAAUAUGGAGGCCCUGCAGAUCCCCGAGCUGGACGAAAGUAGAGCAGUAGAAGCCAUGCAGAAAGGGACGACCUCCCUAGACUUCUUUAGCUCGUUAAGUAGAAAGCCCCCCACCUCGCUGGCGGAACUGAUAAAAAGGGCGGAAAAGUACAUAAGGCAGGAUGAUGCCUUAAUGACGAGCAGGUUCGCCAAGGAAGCGGCAGACAGGGGGAAAGCCCUAGAGGAAAGGAGGCCGGAAAGGCACGAAAAAAGGCAAAACAAAAGGCCUGAAGCUUAUAGACAACCUUGGGACCGAAGGGACCAGAGACCACUCCCCCCUCGGGUUCCAGACCAAAGAUCAUUUUCCCUGCGGGUUCCUGUAACGACCCAGAAACCUGACCACUACCGGCGCUAGGAUCCAGAUCGGCAUAAGGCCGCCGGGACCCGUAGCAAGCCUACUACGCAUCCUGUACAGCUGGUAUAAUCCCAAACAUGAUCAAUCAUUUCCAUAAAACAUUUAAAACUUUACCUUUACCCAGUUUGACCUGUGCAUGCACUAUGACUGAACUCAUAGAACCCCUAGGGUCAGCAUACCCUAUGUCAAACUCGGUCCAACACAUAUAUCAACAUAAUAUAAAACUCAUGUACAAAGGGAUUAUCCAACUCGGGCCAAGCACAAUACUAUAACUCUGAACAUAUUACAUAAAAUCAUUUUACAAUACAACUCUUUUACAUCAUUACAUAACUUUUCAUUACAUCAUGUCCACUACUAUUCUCUUACAUAGCAUGACCAUAGCCAUAUCCUGAUAACUUCCUGAACUACCUUUGACCCUGCAAACCUGGGGUUAGGGGAGAGGGGUGAGCUAUAAAGCCCAGUGAGUAGAAACCAUAAAGAAAACAGUUCAUUUUAACGUAUGCUAUCAUGGAAUGCAUCACAUCACAGACAUAUCACAUCAAGGAUGAAUUUGUCACCAAUAGCCCUCUACAUAUCGUUACAUAUCCAACUAUACCAGGGGCGAUGAGGCCACACCUAGUAUUCGCUUACAUAACUCAUAUCAUAACAUGUCCAACUACACCAGGGGCGAUUAGGCCUCACCUAGUGUUCGCUUACAUAUAACAUAGUGCCAGGGGCGACCUGGUCUUUCUAUCUCAUAUCAUACCAUGUCAUAUCUUAUCAUAUCAUAUUGUACUGAGGGCUAGAGGAUCAUUCAAGAUUCAUCCACAUCAACAAUAUAUUAUGCAAUGCGUCAUAUUCGUGAAUUCGAGUGCAAUACAACCUACUACAUAUCAUGGCAUUUUAUGAUGCAUGGAUCAUGCUAAAACAUUCAUUAACUUUAAAACAGAGUUCUGUUCCACUCACCUUUGACUAGCUCUGGGCCGACUCUGAAACGGCUGACACUGCUAAAUACCUCGGUUCCUUGGGUCCGAUCCUACACAGGUGGACUCCAGUGAGGUGCCAAACAUACUCUAAACAACUCAUAAACAACUACCCAAAAACCCCCUAAAACAUCAUAGAAACAUGUAUAGAAAACACCCAAGAAAAGGCUGGACAGGGCACUUUCGGCGGCAGGUUCGGCGGCCGAAGGUCCCUUCCAGAGCCGAAAGUCAUGCAGGUUCGGGGGCACUUUCGGCGGCCGAACCCUCUCUCCAGAGACGAAAGUCAGGCACUUUCGGCGGCCGAAAGUCUGCUCCAGCUCUGAAACACAACUUUCGGGGGCAAGGUUUGGCGGCCAAUCCAUGCAUCCAUAGGCAGGUUCGGCGGCCGAAACCACCUUCGGCGGCCGAACCUGAGUUCUUCCAGAACUCAGCCCUUGUGCAUACAAGCCUCCCAACCCCCCAAAACAAGCAUCCAACCUCUUAAAACAUGCAUAAACUUCUCAAAACCAAGCAUUAACCCUUAACCAUGCAUAAAGGAGCUUAACAACUAGAUUAAACUCCAAAAACAACAUCCAAAGCAUACAUAGCAGCUUUUGGAGCACAGUCUCAGCAGACAGCUUCUGGUAGUGUGGCACAGCCAGCAGCUCCAGCCGCGACUCAGGCUAGUGGCAGAGGUAGAGGAAGAGGGGCAGCCUCUUCUUCAGCGGGUUUCAGGGGUGAGGGUUCGUUAGCUCCAGCGCGGAUCUUCACCAUGACUCAACAGGAGGCAAACACAUCCAACACCGUGGUGUCAGGUAAUCUCAUCAUUGGUUGUUCUGAUGUGUAUGCAUUAAUGGACCCUGGUGCAUCUCAUUCUUUCAUUGCUCUGAGGGCCGUCGAGAGGUUGGGAUUGAUGGUCUCUGGGUUAGAGUGUCCCCUAUGGGUCAGUGGACCCAAGUGUGACCCGUCAGUGGCAGAGUCAGUCUGCCAGUAUUGUCCAGUUUUUGUGGAGGGAAGAUGCCUGUCCGCCGACCUUGUGGUUCUAGACUUGACAGAUUUUGACGUCAUUCUAGGGAUGGAUUGGCUAUCUACCCAUGGUGCUACCUUGGACUGCAGAGACAAGGUAGUCAAGUUCAAAUGUCAGGAUGGGUCAAAGGUGGUCUUCAGAGGAGACCGGGGGAGUACACCUAGAGGUUUGAUAUCAGCCCUACAGGCUCGUAGGCUGCUCAGGAGGGGUUGUCAGGGUUUUCUAGCUCAUGUGAGAGAGCUGGAUAGUCAUGUCAGAGAGCCCGCCUCAAUGCCCGUGGUCAGUGAGUUUUUAGAUGUGUUCCCAGACGAGCUGCCAGGUUUACCACCUGCUAGGGAGAUAGAGUUCGAAAUUGAAUUGAUGCCUGGAACUAGACCGAUCUCUAUCCCUCCCUACAGGAUGGCACCAGCAGAAUUGAAAGAGUUAAAAGAUCAGUUGCAAGAGCUGGUAGAUAGGGGUUUCAUCCGACCGAGUACCUCACCUUGGGGAGCUCCAGUGCUAUUUGUAAAAAAGAAGGAUGGAUCUCUCAGACUUUGUAUCGACUACAGGCAGUUGAACAAGGUCACUACCAAGAAUAAGUACCCGUUGCCAAGGAUCGACGAUCUAUUUGACCAGUUAGCCGGAGUAGGUUGUUUCUCCAAAAUAGAUCUGAGAUCGGGGUACCAUCAGCUAAGGAUAAGGGAAGAGGAUGUGCCGAAGACAGCCUUCAGGACCAGAUAUGGGCAUUAUGAGUUCCUUGUUAUGCCGUUUGGGUUAACCAACGCCCCUGCAGCAUUCAUGGAUCUCAUGAACAGACUGUUUAGCCAAUACCCGGAUCACUUUGUUAUUGUCUUCAUAGAUGAUAUCUUAGUGUAUUCCAGGAAUGCAGAGGAGCUUGCCCAUCAUCUGAGGUUAGUUCUGCAGACCUUGAGGGAACAUGGUUAGUUCCCCAAGAAGGUAGAAGCUGUGGCUAACUGGCCUAGACCCACUUCAGUGACAGAAAUCAGGAGUUUCUUGGGUUUAGCAGGUUACUACAGGAGGUUCGUUCAGGACUUCUCAAAGAUUGCAGCUCCUCUGACCAGAUUGACCAAGAAGAAUCAGAGGUUUGUGUGGACCGACCAAUGUGAAGAGAGUUUUGAAGAGCUUAAGAAGAGGUUGACUUCUGCACCAGUGUUGGCUCUGCCAUCUAGUAAUGAAGACUUCUCAGUCUAUUGUGAUGCGUCCCGGGUGGGACUGGGUUGUGUGCUAAUGCAAAAUGAAAGGGUGAUUGCUUAUGCUUUUAGGCAGCUGAAGAAGCACGAGUUGAAUUACCCUACACAUGACCUUGAGAUGGCAGCAGUAAUCUUUGCACUCAAGAUGUGGAGGCACUACCUUUAUGGGGUUAAAUGUGAGAUCUUUACAGAUCAUAAGAGCCUGCAGUACAUCCUGAGUCAAAGAGAUCUGAACUUGAGACAGAGAAGGUGGGUAGAGCUGCUGAGUGAUUAUGAUUGCAAGAUUCAGUACCAUCCGGGUAAGGCGAAUGUUGUGGCAGACGCCCUAAGCCGGAAGUCACCAGGCAGUCUAUCCCACAUCGCGGCAGAGAGGAGGCCAGUAGUGAGGGAGUUCUUCGAGCUCAUGAAUGAAGGUGUACAGUUGGAGUUGUCUGGUACAGGUGCUUUAGUAGCCCAGAUGAGAGUGGCACCCGUGUUUUUGGAGCAGGUGGCUCAGAAACAGCAUGAGGACCCAGAGUUAGUGAAGAUUGCCAGGACUGUUCAGUCAGGCAAGGAUAGUGAGUUCAGAUUCAACAGCAAGGGGAUCCUCCGCUAUAGGAGCUGAUUGUGUGUACCAGAUGACAUAGGGCUAAAAGGAGACAUUAUGAGAGAGGCUCAUAAUGCAAGAUACAGCAUUCCCCCCGGAGCCACCAAGAUGUAUCAAGAUCUGAAGAAGGUUUAUUGGUGGCCAGCUAUGAAGAGAGAAGUGGCACAGUUUGUGUCAGCCUGCGAAGUAUGUCAGAGGGUGAAGCUGGAACAUCAGAAGCCGGCUGGAAUGCUUAACCCACUACCUAUUCCAGAGUGGGAAUGGGAGAACAUAGCUAUGGACUUCGUGGUGGGGUUACUGGCAGCGUCCAACAGAUUGGACUCCAUAUGGGUGAUUGUGGACAGACUCACCAAAUCUGCUCACUUCAUCCCUGUCAGGAGUGGCUAUUCUGUGAACAAGUUGGCGCAGGUGUAUGUUGAUGAGAUCGUCAGACUGCAUGGGGUUCCUGUUUCAAUAGUGUCCGACAGAGGGCCCCAGUUCACCUCCAGGUUUUAGCGGAGUCUGCAGAAUGCCAUGGGUACCAGGUUGGAUUUUAGCACUGCUUUCCAUCCACAGACGAACGGACAAUCAGAAAGGACCAUCCAGACGAUAGAAGAUAUGCUUAGGAUGUGUGUGCUGGAUUUUGGCGGUUCUUGGAGGCAGCAUCUACCCUUGGUGGAGUUUUCCUACAAUAACAGCCAUCAUGCUAGCAUCGGGAUGGCUCCAUAUGAAGCUUUGUAUGGGAGGAAGUGCAGAUCACCUGUUUGCUGGGAAGAGGUUGGAGAAAAGGUCUUAGCAGGGCCUGAGCUAGUAGAGAUCACCAGCAGGGUGGUACCCAUAAUCAGAGAAAGGAUCAAGACUGCUGCAAGCAGACAGAAGAGUUAUGUAGAUAUCCGCAGAAGGCAAGUAGAGUUUCAGGAGGGGGAUUUGGUAUUGCUCAAGGUAUCUCCAAUGAAAGGGGUGAUUCGAUUCGGAAAGAAAGGUAAGCUGGCCCCACAGUACAUCGGACCCUUUGAAGUCUUGCAAAAGAUUGGGAAUGUAUCGUACAAGCUGGACUUGCCUGCUUCAAUGGAGAGAAUCCAUCCGGUUUUCUAUGUUUCUAUGUUGAGGAAAUUUGUGUCAGAUCCGGGCAAGGUUCUUAGUGAGCGUGAUGUGGAGAUCCAAGAGGAUCUCACCUAUGUUGAGCAGCCAGUGCGGAUCCUAGACACCCAGAUCAGAAAGCUAAGGAACAAGAAAAUCCUGAUGGUGAAAGUCCUUUGGAAUCACCACAAUAUUGAGGAGUGUACCUGGGAGACAUGGGAGUCCAUGCUCCAGCAAUAUCCCCAUCUUUUAUAAAGUAAGUUUAUGUGCUUUAUAUGUAUUUUAUGCUGAUUGCUAUGCAUGUGUUGUUUGGUGAACAUUUGGGGACGAAUGUUCUUAAGGGGGGGAGAAUGUAAUACCCGGCUAGACUCCGGUAUCGGAAUUUCUACCGUUCAGUGGAAUCUUGGAUGUCGGAAGCCUCUAGUAGGGUAGAAACAUGUUUUCAUAAAAUGUUUCAAUGUAUUUCAUGGUUUUAAGUAAAAAGGAAAUGAGUUUUUGCAUGAAAAUAAUCUUGGAGGAAGACCCAGGUUCGGCCGCCGAACAUGCUUGUGCUUCGGGAGUGCUUUAGGCCCCCGAAAGCAUAAGUGGGGGAAAUCCAGGUUCGGCCGCCGAACCUUAUGUUCGGCCGCCGAACAUGGCAUGCAUGCGGAGGCACGUUCGGCUCCCGAAUAUGGCCUGACCAGCCACCUAUAAAGGGGUCCCUUAGCCGAAAACGGGCGAGUUUUUCUCCCCACUUUCGGCCAAGGUGAGCUCUCCGCCGUCCCUCACCCAUCUUGAGUUUCUUCCUUCAAAUCUUUCACGAUUUUCACUAGUUUUCACUUUGUUUUGAAGAUUUUCAAGCAUAAAGCGAGUUUUGGAGCUUUGAGAUUCAAGAAACUCAAAUCUCUCCCAUCUCUGAGCUAGGGUCGUUUUCCUCUCGAUCUUCAAGAGGUAAGGGCCGAUCUUGAGCUCACUUUAUGUUUUAAACAAGUUAUAAGUUGUUUCAUGAAGUAGAAAUGCAUGUUUAGGUUGUUUUGAGUUUAUGGGUUUAAUGUGUGUUUUUGAGCAAUGUGGGUAUGUUUGAUGUGUUGUAGUUGGGGUUUAGGCUAGUUUGAGACCCCUAUGAGCUUGUAUGCUUGUUUGUGUAUGUUUGGGAGUGUUGUAGAAUAGGCUUAUGCAUGUUUGAAAGGUUUGGGAGGCGUUUGUGUAUGUUGGAGCUGAGUUUCUGCCACUUUAGAGAAACUCAGGUUCGGCCGCCGAAGGAACUUUCGGCCGCCGAACCCGCUUGUGGAAGCAGCCUUCGGCUGCCGAAGCCUGCCCCCGAAAGAGGACUUUCGUCUCUGGAGGGCAGUUUCAGUCGCCGAAAGUGCCGCCGAAUAUGCAUGAGUUUCGUCUCUGUCUGGGAGUUUCGGCCGCCGAAGGUGCCGCCGAACCUGCCUGACUUUCGGCUCUUGAGGGACUUUCGGCCGCCGAACCUGCCGCCGAAAGUGCCCUGUUCAGCCUUCCUUUGCAUGUAUUCCAUGAAUGUUUUGAGGUGUUUUUAGGCGGUUUUUUGGGAGUAUUCCAGAGUCAUGUUCAUGUAUGUUUGGUUCCUCACUUGAGUCCACCUAUGUAGGUUCGGACCCGAGGACCCGAGGACCCCAGCAGUGAGUUCAGCUGUUUCCGUGUCUGUCAGAGCUAGCCAGAGGUGAGUGGAAUAACUCUUAUGCUUUAAAAUAAAUAAACCAGUUUUAGCAUGAUUCACGCAUCAUGAAUGCCAUGAGAUAUAAUAGGGUGCUUGCAUUAGAACUCACGAAUAUGUUGCAUUGCAUAAUAUGUUGAUGAUGCGGAUGAAUGUUGAAUGAUCCUUUAGUCCUCAUAUGUCACGAUAUGAUGAUGAUACGGUACGGAAGACUAGUGAGGCCCAUUCUACGCCCCUGGCACCAUGUAAGAGAAAGACUAGUGAGGCCCAUUCUACGCCCCUGACACAGUUGGAAUGUUAUGUUAUGCUAUGUUAUGUAAGAGAAAGACCAGUGAGGCCCAUUCUACGCCCCUGGCACAGUUGGACCAUGUAGAGGACUAUUGGUGACAACUUCAUCCUUGAUGUGAUAUGAUUGUGAUGUGAUGCAUUCCAUAUUACCAUAUGUUUUAAAUGUUUGAUUAUUCUGCUCACUGGGCUUUAUAGCUCACCCCUCUCCCUUAACCCCCAGGUUUGCAGGUACAGGGUAGACCAGGAGGUCAGCAAGAGUAAUGAAGUCUUGGUUAUGUAAUAGAUAGUGUGGACAUGAAAAAUGUUGAGAUGUUAUGUAUAAGUACAGUAUAGAAAUGAAAUGUAAUGUAAAAAUGUUCUUGGAUGUUAGAGGUGUGCUUGACCAUAGAGUAUUGUUAUCCCUUUUAAUACAUGAUCUCAGAUGUUUUAUGAUGUAUAUGUAAACCAACUCAAUGCAUGUUAUGUCACCCAUUGGGGCUUUGAUGAGAUCCCAAAGAGGGGUCAAUGUUUAUAGUUAUAUUUAUGUUCAGUGCAUGCACAGGUUGAGUUUGGUGUAUGAGAGAAUGUAUGAAAGAAAAGUUUUAAUUUUUAUGUGUAUUCUUGAUCAUGUAUGGGAUUAAACAGGUUUUCAGGUUUUAUGUCAGGCUUGCUACGGGUUCCGGCGGCCUUAAGCCGACCUGGAUCCUAGCGCCGGUAGCGGUCCGAUUUUCGGGUCGUUACAAAAAUUAUCAAAUUAUGUUAUUUACCGUUAUUAUUUUCGCCCUCUUUAAAAGGAAAAAGAAAAAGAAAACAGGUGCGAAAGUUCAAGACCUCAGUGAGGUAGGUGACCGGGCUCCCCAAGCGCCCCCGGCACCAUAAAGUCGGUUGAGAUGAUGAAGCGACAGUAAGGCCAUAGAGCCUGAAUCUAGUUCAAGGCCUUAGUGAGGUAGGUGACCGGGUUCCCCGAGCGCCCCCAGCACCAUAAAAUCGGCUGAGAUGAUGAAGCGACAGUAAGGCCAUAGAGUUUGAAUCUAGUUCAAGACCUCAGUGAGGUAGGUGACCGGGCUCUCCAAGCGCCCCCGGCACCAUAAAACCGGCUGAGAUGAUGAAGCGACAGUAAGGCCAUAGAGCCUGAAUCUAGUUCAAGGCCUGAGUGAGGUAGGUGACCGGGCUCCCUAAGCGCCCUCGGCACCAUAAAACCGGCUGAGAUGAUGAAGCGACAGUAAGGCCAUAGAGCCUGAAUCUAGUUCAAGGCCUCAGUGAGGUAGGUGACCGGGCUCCCCAAGCGCACCCGGCACCAUAAAACCGGCUGAGAUGAUGAAGCGACAGUAAGGCCAUAUAGCCUGAAUCUAGUUUAAGGCCUGAGUGAGGUAGGUGACCGGGCUCCCCAAGCGCACCCGGCACCAUGAAACCGGCUGAGAUGAUGAAGCGACAGUAAGGCCAUAGAGCCUAAAUCUAGUUCAAGACCUCAAUAAGGUAGGUGACUGGGCUCCCCAAGUGCCCCCGGCACCAUAAAACCGGAUGAGAUGAUGAAGCGACAAUAAGGCCUUAGAGCCUGAAUCUCAUUCAAGACCUCAGAGAGGUAGGUGACCGGGCUCCCCAAGCGCCCCCGGCACCAUAAAACCGGCUGAGAUGAUAAAGCGACAGUAAGGCCAAAAGUGCCCCGAAUAUGACUCAGGACAAUGAGGGCUGAAUCCCAAACUAAGAUAUACAAAUCUGAACUCGGUAAAACCAAGUGAAAAGAGAGUCAAACUCAGGAAGCCCAACAAAUUUCAAGUUUAUCUCCUCAAACCAAGGGGCAAAUCAAAGGCAUGAACAGACAAUGCCACAAACUCAAUUCCACUCAGGAAGACGGGUUCACCAUUCUAAGAAGGUACAUUACCUAACUUGCUUUGGUUAUACAAAAACUAUGCGUCUGAGCUUGCGUCCUUGGUAAACCGACGAGAUAAAAACAUGAAUGCUUUCCCAAGAUUAGAAAAUUCAUAAGUUAGAAGUUCAAUCAAUUGCUAGAGUUUCAGCCCAGAUUAACUCAAAGACGAGAAAAUUGGUAACCGGGCUGGUCAGUUUAAUAUGGUUGAUUUCCUUGGAAAAUUACAGAAUAAAUAUUUGGCUUAAAAGUUUUUUAUCCUUAACAGAUUGACAGAUUAAGCAAAUUAGGCCUUUAGCAGUUUAGACUUUUAAUAAGAUGAGCAGUUCGGUAGAAUCAGAAAAAGUAAAUGCAAGCAGAAAUAAUUCAAAUAUAAACACAAACAAAAGCCUCAUCUCAUUAAACAAAAUGAAGUUAAAUUACAAGCUAUAUUUAAUCAUCUAUAACUAUAGGGGGAAAAAUUAUCCGUAAAGGACUUACAUCAUUAACUACAUCAUUUACAUCUACACUACCAUCCUUGGGGACCCCGGUGUUUUCUUGUUCGGAUCCCCCAGCACCCACGAAGGGCACUAUCUCCUUCCCCCGAGGUCCAGCGUCUUCCCUUUGGGACUUGGCACCCUCCUCUUGAGGCCUGGCAUCGCUCUCUUCGGGCUUGGUGGUUUCCUGCUCCUCCCUCUCCUCAAGCUCGGUAUCCUCUUCAAGAGACCCAGUGGAAGUGUGAGAAGCUCCUUUGGGCAGAGGAUUAUCAUCCUCCUCAUAACACACCUCCUCACCGUUAGAGUCCACUUCAGGGGCUCGGAGCCGUGCUAAUGGGGUGGAGAGGUCGUCCUUGUCCUCCUUCAAGCCCUUAUUGAACCCGGAGGCAAACAGGCAGAAUCCCCUAUGCCAUAUCUCGUUUUUCAGUUCGUCAAAGGCUUUGAACUCCGUAAGUCGCGCCUCACAGGCCUCCUCUAUCUUGGCCUUCAACUCAGGAGAGUCCUUAUAACUUUGAAGACGAGCUUCACAAGCCUGCUCAAUCUCCUUUCUCAGCUCUGCUGACUCCUUAUACUCCCUUAGGCGUUCCUCACACUCCAGUUGGACUCUGUCUUCAGCAUGCUUGGCAUCCUCGAGCAGGGCUGAACACCUCUUUUUUAGAGCUUCAACUUCCUGGCAGAGAUAUUGAUUUUGAAGCUUGGAUGUCUCUACUGCCAGAGUCAGAUCUUUAACAUUACUCGCACGCUUGCUCAGCUCCUACUCAAGAACGACUAUCCGAGCCAGGGCUUCGUCCCUCUAGGCCAUCACAGUGUCGUACCGAGUCUAAGCCCUUUCGAAAUCUGCCUUCAGCAAUUCAUACUGAUGCCAGACCUCCUUCCUUUGAUCCAAUGCCUCGUCCCUCUCCCGCCGGAUCUCCUCCAAGGAGGACAGCUGCUUUAAGGCUUCAUCGCGACGCACCUUUGCCGCAGCUGCCCUCUCAUUAGCCCUUUUGAGGGCUACUUGGGUGUAGGACAGCUCCGCCUGCAGUGAUUUUGAGUGCUCCUAGGCCGCUGCAAGAUUGCCCCGGGCAUCACUGGUAGCAACCAGGUUCUCCUCAAGGCGCGCCUCCUCAAUCCGACGAUCCACAGAGAACCAAAGAGAGUGGUCACGGGCGUCCACCUCCAUGAAGAGGCUCGUCACCUAGCACAAAGAGAAAACUGUUAGCACAAGGAAACAAAGAGAACCAAAAUAAAAACAAAAAUCAAAAAGGACAAAUCACCAUAAGGAGCAUUUCCCUGAUGGUGUCUCCGAGCUCCCCUCGAGUACGAGAUCGAAACGCUACUUGCUCUCUAGUAGAACUGGCCAGAAGACCAGUGAGAGCAAGCAAACGGGGGUCUGAAGCCUCCGUGACCCCACCGAACAUUUUCUCCCGUAAUAUCUCCGCAACCACACUCGUUGGAGAUUGGUGGGUGAUGUCCUCUACAUUCAGAAUCUCGUUGUUAGGAGCAGAGAGCAGGGGCACCACAGGAGUCUUUUCUUUUUCGAGGGGAGACAAGGCUGGAGCUGGUCUCUUGGAAGCCCGAGACUUCUUAGGAGCAGGAGCCGGGGCAAGAGCUUUAGAAGAAGGAGGACGCUUGCCCGCGGCCCCCUUAGCAGCACCCACAGGGAUGGCUGAGGUCUUUUCUUGAGGAGGAACGCCAUCAAUUAGCUCAGAUUCAGUCCCCCCUACAGGAAUGCCCUCAUCAAUGGGGGAAGCUUCAGUAGAGGCUUCUUGGACAUUCUCGCCUGCUGGGCCGACCUCCUUCGCGCCCUCAGGAGCCUUUCCACCAGAGGGAGAAACCUCAACCCUCUCUUCAGGGGCAUCCCUAAAAGACAAGGCAAUGCCCGCCCUCACGCGCCCAGGAUCCUCCACUGGCCUGUCAGUGAUCUCUGGGGCAAGCUCCGCCCUCGCGAUGGCAGCCUAUUGCAACCUAGUGGCCCGAGAAGACUUAGGAAGGGAACUAGAGCUGCUACGGCUGGAGGGUUUGGAGGUCCUAACACCCCGGGAGCUCGGCUUAGGAGCUCGAGAAGAAGCUGGAGCUGGGUGGACAGAUCGGCCAGCCGACCUGGAUGAGAUGACCUGGGCCACGUCAUGAGUAGCUUCAGACAUGGAUCGCCCAGCUCGGAAGGCAUCCAGGGCAGCCUUCAUACUUUCUCGGGACAGGGUGAAGUUCUUAGGAGCCUUAAUUUUGUCCAUAUCCACUUGAGAAGCUGCAAAGACCCAAAAUCAACACAAGUUAAAAAAUGCUUCAAGAAAAAUUAAGAAGGGAAACAGAGCAAUUAAACAAAGUAUAAUACCUGCAUCCUUGCAGUCCUGAAGACUGGACACGAACAUGCACUUUUCGACAUCAUACUUCUUCUCAAUAGAAGUCAGUCGAAGGUACCCAACCUACUCGGAAAGACUCAGCUGGGGCAAGUCGUUACAGCCCAUAGGGACAUCUUCCCAGGAGAGCUCUACCUCACAAGACAGUCCGGAGUCCUUUUUCAGCUCCACAACUGCAAACCCCUCUACUGACGCGGAACCCUAUGGCACAAGCCUCAAACCCACACGCACAAGUAGAUAUGGAAUCCAAAGAUUUGAUAAACCCACCUCCUAUGGCACCCCAAACUUAGAGAAGCUGAAACACCAGUGAUCGAAGGAUUUAGAUGAGAAUCUGACAAACGCUACAAUGAAUAGUUGAUAAGUUAGCCAAGAUUCCUGGUGCAAUUGAUGAAAGCAAAUCCUCACUCUCACUCAAAGCAAUACACGCCAAAGGCAUGAAAAUAAUUCUAAAAUUUUGAUUAAAAGCUGCCUCUUACAAUUAUUUCUUAUCCUUAUAUAGUAAGGAGAAAAACGAAUAAAACCCUAAGACACCCUUCUUGGACUUGACUUAAGCACAUAAGGCCCAAGCCCAAUCACACACUAAAAUAACACAUAAGUAUUAAAACAUAAGCCCAAAACAUGGCCCAACACUCUAAAACUUAAAAGAUAAAGUAUGGCCAGAAUACAAGCCCAAACAAAGCUAAAAUAAAACAAGUGUUAAAUAAUAAAAAUAUAGCAAGCCCAUCAUAACAAAGCUGAAUCUUCACAAAAGCCUUACUUGAUCUUCACUUUAGGCUUCCCUUUGUGUAGUUUUAGCCCAUGGGCUUGAUUAGGCUCCCUAAGCCUAUAAUUGCAAGUGUUGCACCAAAUCUAUCCCAUAUGAGUUGAAGCACGCCCCAAAUAUAUAUGGAUCAUAUGAAUAUGAUUUUGAACUCCUUUUAGAUCCAUUUGAAUGACAUAAGUUUGCUCCAAACCAUUGUUAGAAAUUUGCCCUAUUGGAUCUGUAUCAUCUACUCAGCCUUUUAUUGAGUCUUUAUGACCCGAAAAUAUAGACAGACCUCCGCGAGGGGCAAAAUAGUAGAAGCCCUGACUUGCCCUAACUAAUCGGAAGAAGGUAACAAACAGACGCGCUGUGGGAGUGAACCUCCAGCUUAGACAAACAGACUCAAAGGAGCACAUGAACAGGAUGGAGUUGGGAGCCAGCAUCCUAGGGGUUAUCCCGAAAUACCGGAAGACCUCGAUGAAAAAGGGGGAAAAGGGAAAGGUUAGACCAUACUCCCGCUGUUUGAUGAAAAAGACCAGGCUAAGGUCCUUUUGAGGGUCGACCAAACCAGAAGGGGGAGGAUCGGGAAGAACGAUCCUCUCAUUUCGAUAGGGAGCUCGGAUAUGAAAAAGGGGGUAUCAACAUACUCCCGGAAAAAGAAAUUUUUUAGGGUGGAAUGAGUAAUACUGGACUCUAGGUUAAUGAUAUCAGGGAAUUUUGGGCUAUCUAUGGAUGAAUAAAGAACGUACCUUGAAAAUGGCAGGGGUAGGGGGACAGAGCUAGCAAUACGCGCAGAGAGCAGAGAAGAGUGAGAGUUUCGGGAAGAUUGAGAAGAUUCGAAUUUUGAAAUAGUAAAGAGAAGAAGAGAGAAGAAAAGAAGUUUUAAGGGAAACAGUCCUCGGGCCGUGCAGUCAUAUUAAUUCUCGAUAUUUACCCCCUCAUCAUUCAUAUAAUAACUGAUGAGAAGGUAAAGGGGCAAUUGAUGACUGCUGGACUUCACCACCCCGGUAUAAGGCCUAACCCAUGAUAGCAGCCCUAAUCCAAAGGUCAUGGGGCCCCUUCAACGAGCUGGCCUGGACCACCCAGCCUUGAGGUCGGGCCUCCCGUAGACCUCAGCCCUUUCAACACCAAGCUCGGCCCUGGAACGUGAUAGGAGAAAGGACAGCAAGCCUAGUCACCUCACAACCCUGUCUACACGCGCGCCGGGGGAAUUAAAUGGCCGCCUGGCAUGGAGAGGGCGUCUGACGGUUCCGUACGUACGGUCCUGUAUGAAAGAAAUAGAUGACACUGUAGCUGAGGGGCUGUCAGGCACGGCUAACAGAUAAAAAGGAAAGGGAUAUAGGGGAGAGGGCACCUUCCCCUAACCCAAGCUGACCCAACCAUUAUAAACCCUAUUUUUCUCAUAUCUCAAAUCAUCAUAUUUAACAUGCAAUUUACUCUAAAUAGUAAAUGGGGAAGAGAAAUAGUAUUUUCCAUUAUAUGAAAGCAAAAUGACAAACCAUUAAACUCUUAUUUAGAAUGUCAAAUUUUGAAAAAAUUCAAAAGAAAUGAAUUCUUUUUUUUUUUAAUUUAUGUUUAAGAAAAUUAAUAAUAUAAAAAUUCAAUUCUCUUAAAUUCUGAUUAAAAUUAUUAAAAUUUUAUAAAAAAUUAUUUUAUUUAAGGUUAUUUAUAUUAAAAUUAUUUAAUUAGCCUUUGAAAAUUUUGUUUAUUUUUUCUUUCAUCCUUUGUUUUUUUCUUAAUUUUAAAUUUAUUUUUAUUUUUAAUUAAUAAUUACUCUUUACAAAAAUUAUUUGAAUUUAAUAGUGACUAUUAAUACUUAAUAUAUUUAUAAUUAAUAUUAAAAAUUUAUUAUAUUAUUUUUUAAUUUUAAAAAAUAAUUUUUAUAUUUUUAAUGAUAAAAAAUUAUGUAAAUUUAGAUUUUAAAUGUUACAAAAAUAUUAAUAAUGUUUUUUCAUGAAUGUGAUAAAAAUUAUUGUUAUUUAUAAGAAUAAAUAUUUAUAUUUAGUUUAAAAAUAAUAAGAUUGAUGAAUAAAUUAAAGUAAUUUAAAUUUUAUUAUAAAUUUGUUUAAUAUAAAAGAUUUCAAUUGAAUUCUAUUACAUUUAAAUUGAUUCCAAUAAAUUUUAUUAUGAAUAAAAAUGAAUUGAAUUCGAUAGAAAUGAAUUGAAUUUUAUUGAUAGAAUUUAAUUCUUUUCUCAUAAAAAUUGAAUAUCAAAUAAGGGCUAAAAGAAUAAAAAGAAUAAAAGAAUGUUGGCCUAAGAUAAGUUGCAUUCAGGAGGGAAGCCUUGGGGAAAUCUGUUGGCAUCUGUGCAAUAGUUGUAUAUCAUGUAGUUGUUCCUCACCCAUUGCAGCCUCUCAUGACUUGUUGAAUCAAGCUCUUCUGACAGCCAUGAAUUUGUCAUGGAGUUUGAAGUCCCACAGGAAGAUACCCCAUUUGACCAAGCACAUGCAUUUGCUUUGAAGUUUCUAUAGGAAGCAGUGAAUGGAGCUUUACUCCAAUCUGUCUUCACUAGACCACCUCUUGUUGCCCAAUCAUCAGCAUUCCAUAGACUAGAGUAAAUUCUCAUUGGCUGAUUCUUUGGAUAUGGAACACCCAUUGAUUCCAAGUUCUUGAACUCUCUAAUUGGGGUGCCAUCUACAGAUAAGAUGAUCCUCUGGGGAUUCCAUAGAAUGGUAUAUGUGUGGAAAUCUGCAGUUGGGUCAAACCACAGAUAGAAUUGCUGCUCUCUGUUGCCUUUGCCUUGGCUGAACACAUUAGUGUGGAGGAUGUAAGGAUCGCCACUCAAAUUCCCCAAGAACUCAAAAUCAAUCUCAUCCCAAGUGGACCCAUUUGAUUUCAACUGCAUAUUCAAUUUCAAAAUCCACAAUGUUAGGACUAGAAUCACAUAAUUGAAAUAAUUAGCAGAAACAGUACCAAAAGAAAUGAAAAACAUACAUAAUAGGCGGUGACAGUGCCAGCAGAGUUGCCAGGGACAAGCUUGAGCUGCAUAUCAAUCUUUGCAAAGAGAUACUCAUUCCUGGACUGAAAUCCAGAGCCAGAAGCUUGAUCAAGGGAGAGAGUGAGAAGUUGUCCAUUGUUGAGAAUCUUAGCUCGGCCGUCUCCCCAUGUAAUAUCAAAAUCAUUAUAGAAGUUGCUGGCGGAAGAAACCAUCAAAGAGGAGACAAGAACAGACAUAAACAGAGAAAGCACCAUGUUUGAAGAGGCUAUAUUUUGCUGUAAGAAAUCGUUUUAGCUUUGAAAGAGGAGAGAUGUGUUUGUAGAGAAGAAUGGGUUGGGUAGCAUUUAUAGUGGGCAAAUGACGAGUGAAAUGAAGAGAAAGUGCUGAGGAAAGGUCAUAGGAAGGUCGAGUGAGCUUAGCUGUGCACAGGAGUGUGUUUGGUGAUGCUUAUAAUAUUUAUUCUAUGAUAGCUGGAAAAUCGCACUACCAAACAUGUUCAAUAGUGAUCAAUACGCGUAUCAGGUUUUUGGUCGGAUACUUGGAUUUCAUACUGCCUUCCUCGGAACCGACAAAAUGAUGAUGCAAGAAUCAAAAGAAAAUUAUAACUAUUCUCUCUCUAAUUUUUAGAGAGAGAAAAAAAAUCUCUGUUUGGCCCUAGAAUUAACUAAAGUGUAAUUAUAAUCCAUGAAUUUUUUUAAAUAUCACUAGAAAUAUUAUUAAUAGUAAUUUUAAUUGAACUUUGUUAAAUGUUGCUCCCUUCAUCGCUUAACAAGUGUCCUAUUUGUUAAUUUCACUAGGUUUAAAGUAAUAUUUGAAUACGUUAAUAGGUUAAUAUUUAUUAUAAAUGAAUUUUUAUUAUGUAAAAUAUCAUAUAUAAUAUUAUAGUAUUUUGCUAAAUAUUUACGCUAUUAUAAAUUAUGUAAAUACUAUUUGUAUAUAAAAAAAAUCAACAUUCUAUCAAUAAUAUUAAAUAAAAUGAAAUAUAAAAUUUUGUAGAUUAAUUUUGAAUUAAAUUAUAAUAAAUUGAUAUACUAAAUUAUUAAUAAAAUUAAGAAAUUUAUAAUAAUAAUAUAAUUUUUUUAAUAUUAUGAAUUUCAAUUUUAGAAAAAAAUGAUAAAAAAAAUUCUAACUUUUAAAAAUAUUUAUAAUUACACCUUAAACUUUAAAAAUUUAUUAAUUAAUCCCUAAUAUUUUAAGUUAUAAUUAAUUGUAUUCUAAAUUUUAUUGAACUAAAAAUAUAAGAUGACAAUAAUAUGUUAGAUAAUAUUACAAUUCUGUUAGUCUUUAACAGAAAUGUUAACACGGAUCUAAUUGGAACAAAUAUAAAAAAUAUAGAAUUUAAUUAGCGAACCAUAAAAAAGUAACUUGGGAUUGCAAAAAUGGAAAAAAGUUAUUUUUUUAUUAUUAACUCUAUUAUAAAUUAUUUUUUUUAAAAAAAAUUUUUUAUCAUUAACUCUAUUAUAAAUUAUUUUUUAGUAUUAUAAAUUUUAAUUUUAUAAGAAAUGAUAAAAAAAAUUCUAAUCUUUAAAAGAAUUUAUAACUACACUCUAAAUUUUAAAAAUUUAUCAAUUAAACCCUGACUUUUUAAGUUAUAAACAAUUGUGCUAUGAACUUGUUGAUAUUAUAAAAUAUGUUGAAUAAUAUGACAACCGCGUUAAUCUAUAAUAGAAAAUUUAACAUAGAGUGAAACUAAAAUAAAAAGUGAAAUUUAAUUAGCGAAUCAUAAAAAAAUAUGUGGAAUCAUAAGAAUGAAAAAAAUAUUUUUUAUUAAUUUAUUAAUAAUUACCAUAAGCUUUUUAUAUUUUAUUUUAUAAUAUACGAUAUUUAAUAAUUAUAAAAUUAAUUUAUUUAAUAUUUAUAGUCAUAUUUUAUUAUAAUUUUUUGUUUACAGUAAAAAAUAUUUAUAAUAUUAUACAAGUAAAAUUAAUUUAUAAUGUUAUUAGUUUAAAUUUAGGAGAAUUAGAUCACUUAUUAUAAUAAAAAUAAUUUACUGAAUUUAAUAAAUUUUAACAUUUAAAAAUUUUAAUCAUAAAUAGAUAAUAUGUAAUCUAUAUUUAUCUAAUUAUUUAGAAGUAUAUAAUUAAUAGAUAAUAUUUCAUAAUUUAAAUUAAUUUAAAGUUAAUAAUAACAUUUGACAUUUGUAUAUAUAUUUAAAUUUAUAAAUGGAUUAUAGUUUUAUAAUUGAAUUUAAAUUUUAAAGUAAAUAAUGAUUUUAUUAUUUAAAUUAAUUUACUAUUAAUAAAGUUUGAAAUUUGAGUUAUAUAUAAAUAAUAAAAAGCCAAAUUUGUGGCAUUAGAUUAUUAAAAUAAUAUAUAUUGAUGAUCUGAGAUCCAGAAAAUAGGGUUUACAAAACGUUCUGUAAGCUUGGCUGAAAAAAGGGCCCUCAAGAAGAGAAUGUUUCUUCCUUUUAUCUGUUUCCAUUGUCUGUCAGUGACGUGUAACGGCCCGACUUCUAUUGGGCCACCUGUCUCUGCCAUAUUGAUAUAAUCGUACGAGGAUAUCAGAUUCCUGCCCCAUGUGUAACGGCCUCUGAUUCCCCCCGGGCGCGCAUGUGGAUGGACCCACAAGGCAGAUGGAUAGGUCCCCUUCCUGAUUCUGAGCUGGACCCAAGGAUUGGAUUAAAGUUGAGCCCAGGUAGGAUCUGUUUGAUGGGCCGUGUGGACUGGGUCGGCCUGGUUGAGGAAGAUAGUUGGAGCUCGGCCUUAAAGCUGAGCGGACCAGACCUGGUUCAUGUGGGAGACUCGAAGGCCUCCAGAUAAUGGGCUAUUGUCAUGGGCCCGGCCCCAAACCGGGGUGACGAAAUCCAGCGGUCAUCAAUUGCCCAUUUACCUCCUCGUCAGUUAUUGCCCGAUUGAAGAGGGGGUAAAUACCGAGAGUCAUCAUGACCGCGCCGCCCAAGGACAAAACUGUUCAAAACAUCUUUUCGGCUCUUUAUUGUUUCAAAUUUCACUUCCCGUCAGUCUUCCCAGAACGUUGGCUCUUCUCUGUUCUACUGCUCUCUUUGCUUUCCUCUGCUCAUUUGCCUUAAUCGUUUUUCAGGUACGCCUCUUCUUUUACCAUGGAUAGUUCUAGUCUCCCCGAUGUCGUCAACCAGGAGUCUAGCAUCACCCCAUCUAACAUUAGGAGUUUCAUCUCUAAGGAAUACCUGGAUACCCCUCUUUAUCACAUCCAGGCUCCUUACCAGAAUGAGAGGAUCGUUCUUCCUGAUUCUUCUCCUCCUGGCCUAAUCGACCCUCAAAGGGACGUCAGUCUAGUCUUCUUCAUCAAACAGAGAGAGUACGGUCUGUCAUUCCCCUUUUCUCCUUUCUUCAAAGAGGUCUUCCAGUAUUUCGAGAUCACCCCUCGAAUGCUAACCCCUAACUCCAUUCUUUUCAUGUCUUGCUUUGAAUCUGUGUGUCUGAGCUGGGGGUUUACACCCACGAUUCACCUGUUCGUCAGCUUUUUCAGGCUAGUCAAAGCGAGCCAAAAAUUUUAUUACUUUGCCCCCCGCGGAGGGUUGUUUAUUUUCACGGUUUAUAAAGACUCCAUCAAGGGCUGGGUAGAGGGGUUUCUGGUGGUGGAGUUGAAGAAGAAUACGGGAUUGGCUUGGGAGCUUGAUCUCGCCUGGCAGGAUGUCUCUCUGGGUUGCAACGACCUGCCCCAGUUGGGCCUUACCGAGCAGGUCGGAUUCAUUCGACUGACUUCUGUGGAUAAGAAGUAUGACGUCGAAAAGUGCUUGUACGCGUCCGACCUUAGGGAUAUUAAGGACGCGGGUAUCUUAUUCUAUCUGCAUGUGUUAGUUUUUGCUUACGCGAUCUUUGCUGAGAACUGUUCUGAUUUGCUUUGAUUUUUAAUUUUGUAGCUUCCGAGGUGAAGAUGGAUCAGAUCAAGCCUCCCAAGAAUCUCAUAUUGUCCCGGGAGAGCAUGGACGCUGCUCUGGAUGCCCUCCUAGCUGGGCAGUUCGUGAGGGAGGCUACUCAAAGGGUGGCUGAGGUUAUUUCUUCCAGAUCGGUUAUCCGACCUCCUCCUCCUCCGACCUCCUCGCAAGCUCCUAGGCCAAGCUCCCGACAUAGUAAGUCGUCUUGGCCUUCUAGCCGCAGCAGAUCGAGCUCGGCUCACCAGUCUUCCCAAGCCCCUCGGCCUCGACGUGCUUCUACUGAGAGGACAGAAGAGACUCCAAGGAUUAUUUUCUGAAGUGGCUGAGGACGCCGAGAUGGCGAGGACGGAUCCUGUACUUCCUCAUGUGGAUGAUUCUAAUGUGGGGCUUGAAGUCCCCGCUGUUGCUGAGGGGGAGGUCCCCAAGGUGGGGCUCGAGGCCCCAUUACUGAAGAGGGAGCUUCAGGGAAAAGAAAGGAGGUUAUUCUUGUAGACGAAGAUGUCCAGGAGGCCCCUACUGGAGAUGCCCCUGCUCCUGAAGAGGUUGGAUCCGGCCCUGCUAAUAAAGGAGGUGCCACGGAGAAGGCCGGGGACAAACGUCCUGCCCCUCCCGAAAUGUCCGCCCCAGUUCCUGCUCGGAAGAAAUCCAGGGCUUCCAAGGGAUCAGCUCCAGCUCUCCCUCCUAUUGGAAAGAAAAAGGAAGCUUCCAAGGGAUUAGCUCCAGCUCUCCCCCCCUCUUGAAAAGAAGAAGGAUGUUCCUGUGAUACCCCUGUUGUCUGCUCCUGACAAUGACAUUUUGAACGCGGAGGACAUCACUCAUCAAACUCCGGUGAGCGUUGUAGCGGAGAUCUUACGGGAGCGGAUAUUCAGGGGAAUCACGGAGGCUUCGGACUCUCGUCUGCUUGCUUUGAUCGGCCACCUGGCUGGCUUCACACGAGAGAAGGCAGCCUUCUGGUCCCUACCUUGAGGGGAGCUCGGAGAUAGGAUCAGGGAGAUGCUCCUGAUGGUAAGUCGUUCGUCCCGGUUUUUGCUUGUCUUCUAAUUUUCUUUGUUUCUUUGUUGUGACAGCUUUCUCUUUUUGCGCUAGGUGAUGGGCCUCUUCAUGGAGGUGGACCCUUGUGACCACUCUCUUUGGGAGUCGGUGGAUCGCCGGGUUGAGGAGGCACAUCUGGAGGAAAACUUGUAUGCCACCAGUGAUGCAUGGAGUAAUCUAGCCGCGGCCCAUGAGCAUGCCAAGUCCCUAGAGGUGGAGUUGUCUCACGCUCGGAGGGUUCUUAAAGAAUCUGACGAGAGGGCAGCUGCUGCUGAGGUCCGCUGUGAAGAAGUCCUGAAGCAGCUGUCCUCCACGGUAGAUGCCCUUCGUGAAAGGGACGAGGCUAUAAUCCAGAGGAACGAGGCUCAGCGUCAGUAUGAGGUCUUGAAGGCUGAUUUUGAAGGAGCCUAGGCUCGUCUUAACAAGGUGGAGGUCCAAAAGGAGGGGGCACUAGCUCGGGUUGAAGUUCUCAAGCAGGAGCUGAGUAAGAGUUCUGAUUGCAUUAGAGAUCUGGCCUCAGCAGCAGAGGAGUCUAAAAUUCAUAAUCAAAAGCUCUGCCAUGAGGUCAAGAUUUUGGAGCAUAGAUGCUCAGCCCUGCUUGAGGAUGUCAGACUCACUGAAGACAGGGUCCAGCUGGAGUGUGAGAGGUGUCUGAUGGAGUAUAAAGAGUCUCCCGAGCUGAAAAAAGAGAUCGAGCAGGCCUGUGAAGCUCGCCUCCAGGAUUACAAGAGUUCUUCUGAAUUCAAAGCCAAGAUAGCUGAGGCCUGUGAGAAGCGACUUGCGGAGUUCCAAGGCUCUGAUGAAAUGAAAACUGCCAUAUGGAAUAAGGGCUUCCGCAUGUUCGUGUCUGGGUAUAAUAGAGGUCUGAGGACAGCUAGAUACAAUCCCUCCACUCCUUUGGCCAAACUCUGAGGUGCUGAAGAGGACUCUGAUGGAGAGGAGGUACUUUAUGGGGAAGAUGACAGACCUCUACCCAAAAGAGCUUCUCGCACUACAGCUGGGCCUUUUGAGGCAGAACCCGAGCUGGGGAACAACGAUGCUGGGCCUCAAGGGCAGGAGAUCAUGCCUUUUAUGGGCACCGGGGGGUCUGAGCAGGAGGAUGCUGGGCCUCCCACGGACAGCAAUGCCAACAAUGUAAAUAUAGAUAGUACAUGGGAUAAUGUAGAUGAUAAUGCCCCUAGACAUGUAAGUCCUUUAAGGACUGUUUUUCCUUCAGUAGAGUAGACUGUAAAGUAGGUUGUAAUUACUUUUCUUUUUAAUGAAAUUUAAUUUUCGAGUUGUGUUGGUAUUUUGAAUUAUUUUGAUUGUUAUUUAUUUCUCUGGCUUUAUUUAUACUUGAGCUAUUCUUACCUCUGCUUGUUCUUCCCUCCUCCUCGGGCUACUUAUUCUGUGCAAACAAUCUAACUUGUUUAAUUUUAAAGAUUUGAGAACAAAACACUUAGGCGGUGCCUAAUAAAUCUUGUAAGGAAUUGGCUACAUCGCCUUUCAUUUCUUGCCUCUCAGUUAAUCAGGGCUGAAAACUUAGCAAGAGACUUAGUCUCUGACUUAUAAUCUUUUCUAAUUUCACAAGGGCGUUCUUAUCUGUAAAUUUUCUCCGAGCUGGAUUUGCCUUAAGGCUAAGAUCUUCAAGCUGUACUUUUUCAUAGAUUUCAACCUCAUUAGGUCUUUACUAUGAGCUCGGUUUUUAACAGCCGACUUAAUAUCUUCAACUUUCUUUCCAUUAUUUUAUAUGUACUAGUUCGGGCGUGUAGCCUUUAUAUGACUGAAGUAAAAGGGAUUAUGUACCUCUUUAAAACAACGAGCAGGGUUGAUCUUCUUGUUUUCAGUUCUGUUUCUUAUCUGCUCACGCCGUUGAACUUCCUUUCAGCUCAUAAGAGGUUUGUUAUCUUCGUUUUGUUCUUUGAGCUUUCUGAGCUCGGUUCUUCUUCUUUGCUUGGUUUUCUGAGUUCAUUUUUUCAGAUCGGCACUUUUGGCCUCUUGUCGUUCUUCAUCUGAUGACUCAGUUUUUGGGUAUUCCUCGGCUGGGUACUUUGUUGCUUAGAUCUUCCUCUAGGUUAGCCGAGCUGGUUUAGCGUCAUUCAUCAAUCUUUGGGGUCUGUAUCUUACUAGCCUACAAUCCGAGUUCGGACUUAGACUUUUUAUAUUUGCUUUAGUAUAUUCUUGAGAUCGGCAUGGCGCUUUGCCUCCUUUGGUUGUCAUAUGAGAUCUGAGUCCCCUUCUCUUAGGAUCUGAGCUCCUUUGGGAGGUCAGGUCUAGCUUUGCUCUGGGAGAUCUGGGUGAUCUUAGUCUUUCGCCUCCCUGAGGUCUCUAUGUCUCAGUUCGGUGUUUGUGGUGCCAGGAGAUCUUGGGGAUCCUGGACUUCCACCUCCCUGAGGUCGUUAUGUCUCAGUUCGGUGUUUGUGCCGGGAGAUCUUGAGGAUCCCGGUCUUGUUAUGCCAGGAGAACUUGGNNNNNNNNNNNNNNNNNNNNNNNNNNNNNNNNNNNNNNNNNNNNNNNNNNNNNNNNNNNNNNNNNNNNNNNNNNNNNNNNNNNNNNNNNNNNNNNNNNNNNNNNNNNNNNNNNNNNNNNNNNNNNNNNNNNNNNNNNNNNNNNNNNNNNNNNNNNNNNNNNNNNNNNNNNNNNNNNNNNNNNNNNNNNNNNNNNNNNNNNNNNNNNNNNNNNNNNNNNNNNNNNNNNNNNNNNNNNNNNNNNNNNNNNNNNNNNNNNNNNNNNNNNNNNNNNNNNNNNNNNNNNNNNNNNNNNNNNNNNNNNNNNNNNNNNNNNNNNNNNNNNNNNNNNNNNNNNNNNNNNNNNNNNNNNNNNNNNNNNNNNNNNNNNNNNNNNNNNNNNNNNNNNNNNNNNNNNNNNNNNNNNNNNNNNNNNNNNNNNNNNNNNNNNNNNNNNNNNNNNNNNNNNNNNNNNNNNGUAAUAGAGAUAAUUAUUGCAUUGUCAUAAGGUGGUGCUAUUCCAUUCAUUCGUGUUUUCAUAGUACAAGAAUUUAUUUUUACAAAUAUUCUAAGGGAAGUACAUCUUCUGUUUCACCGGCUCAUUCAACCUUCUUUUCCUCCAACGAUCAUGUUGAUGGUCCCACUGGACCCAUCAUUUACUGGCCCCGCUCCCAUUCUCCUGAGUGUUUGCGUUGCUGGGUUCGGCUGAGGUCUUUGUCCCUCCGGUUUCUUCACAAAGUUCUUGAGGUGUCCCCUCUUUAUUAGCCUCUCGAUCUCAGCAAUCAACUGGAAGCAGUUAUUGGUGUCAUGGCCGUGUGUGUGAUGAUAUUGACAGUAUUUGUCGGGAUUUCGCUGGUCCGCUUCAGUUAUCAUGGGUCUGGGCCAUUGUAGGAGUUCCUUGUCUUGGACGGCCAUGAUCAUUUCGGCUCGGGAGGCAUUAAGUGGGGUCGGCUUCUCUGGAACCCAUGGGGGAAGUGUCUUCUAUUCUAAGGCCCGAGGAGGGGGGAGUUUUUGGUCCCUUCUCUCCCAUGGUUGUCUGUAGAGUUCAGGUUUCUUGCCGUGUUUCUUCUCGUGCCUCUCCGGCCUCCUUUCCUCCAGGGCUUUCCCCUUAUCCGUCGCUCCCCUGGCAAAUCUGCUUGUUACUAAGGCAUCAUCCUGCCUGAUGUACUUCUCUGCCCUCUUCAUCAGCUUGGCCAGUGAGGUAGGAGGCUUUCUGCUCAACGAGCCAAAGAACUCGGGUGAAGUCGUCCCUUUCUGCAUAGCCUCCACUGCUCUACCCUCAUCCAGCUCGGGAAUUUGCAAGGCCUCCGUAUUGAAACGAGCAACGUACUCCCUGAGCAAUUCAUCCCUUCUCUGCCUGACUGUUUCUAGAUAACUCGUCUUUCUGUCUGCAGGCAUCCUGGUGAUGAACCGGCUAAUGAAGUGGGUGGCCAGAUCUCCAAAGCUUCUUAUGCUUCCGGUCUGAGGCUGUUGAACCAUGCCCGUGCUGGCCCUGAGAGCGUCGUCGGGAAUACCUUGCACAUCAAGGCAUCUGACAGAGUCUGCAGCUCCAUGAAAGUCUUGUAGUUCAAGACAUGCUCCCGGGGGUUUCCAGCUCCGUCGUACGCCGCCAUAGGUGGCAUCAUAAAUUUCUUCGGGACGGUCUCCUGCUGCACCCACUUUGAGAAGGGUGAAGAGGUAGGCAGAAGAGUUUGGCUGGGGUCUUUCGCCCCUAACUCAGCCAAAAGUUGCUCUCUCAUCUUCUACAGCUUUUGGUCUACGCUCUCUUCUUCCUGCCUAGGCCUUUUCUCCGCGCGACCUUCCUCCUCCUAUGUCUCGUUCCCCUUUCUUCCGGUGGUUCCGACAGAAUAACUAUCAACUUUAUCAUUCUCUAUCAACUCCCUCACCCUCUGAACUCGAGCUUCCGGCUCUUCCUCUUCUCCGGCUCUUCUCCCCCCGUCUCCGGUUUCUUGGCUGACAGUUUGGGGAUGGUUGAAGGUAGGCUGAGGUUCGUUGGUCCGAGGCUCUUCCACCACCGGCAACACCUGUACUGGGGUGCUGAGGCCCCGUUGUUGCAUUAUCUGCCCCAACCAGUGGGCGGUGUUUUGUAACUAGAGGGCGAUGGCUUGGAGGUCCUGGUUGGACAAGGCAGCGGUGGACACAUUCCCCGCCGGGCUUGGCAAGGGGUUGAAAGGGAUGGGUGGUUGAUUGUUUGGAGUUGUAGGACUGGAAAAAGAGAAUUGCUGCCCCUUUUGGGUGGAGCUCAGGUCAUUGGGAGUGUUAAGAUUGUUGUUUUCACUGUGAUUAGCCAUCGUGGAUCUCAGUGGGUUUGUUUAGAGUGGAACUCCGGUGAUGAAAAGAUCUCCUUCGUUCCCACAGACGGCGCCAAUUGAUGAUCUGAGAUCCAGAAAAUAGGAUUUACAAAGCGUUCUGUAAGCUUGGCUGAAAAAAGGGCUCUCAAGAAGAGAAUGUUUCUUCCUUUUAUCUGUUUCCAUUGUCUGUCAGUGACGUGUAACGGCCCGACUUCUAUUGGGCCACCUGUCUCUACCAUAUUGAUAUAAUCGUACGAGGAUAUCAGAUUCCUGUCCCAUGUGUAACGGCCUCUGAUUCCCCUCGGGCACGCAUGUGGAUGGACCCACAAGGCGGAUGGAUCAGUCCCCUUCCUGAUUCUAAGCUGGACCCGAGGAUUGGAUUAAAGUUGAGCCCAGGUAGGAUCUGUUUGAUGGGCCGUGUGGACUGGGUCGGCCUAGUUGAGGAAGAUAACUGGAGUUCGGUCUUAAAGCUGAGCGGACCGGACCUGAUUCAUGUGGGAGACUCGAAGGCCUUCAAAUAAUGGGCUAUUGUCAUGGGUCCAGCCCCAAACUGGGAUGACGAAAUCCAGCGGUCAUCAUAUAUUAUUAAAAGAAUAAAAAGUGAAUAUAAAAUUAUUAAAUAAUAAUAAUUUAUAUAUAAUAAAUAUAUAUACAUAAAUAUAUUUUACGAAUAUUAAACCUGCAAUGUAGGUUGUAUAAAAUUAGUAUAUAUAAAAAUAAAAAUAAGCGACAAAUAAUAUGAUUAAUAAAAAAUAAUAUUAUUAAAACAAAAAUAUUUAAUUCUCGAAUAAAAUUUCACAAAUUAUAUUAUAAAAUAAUUUUAUUCAUACCUCUAAUCAAUUAGAAAAUUAAUUUUAACAGUAAUUUUAAAAUUAUUUUAAUAUUUUUAAUUUUUAAAAUUAAUUUUAUAAAUAAAAUAAUUUUAUUCAUGUCUCUAAUCAAGUUAAAAAUUACACUAAAAUUAAUUUUUAAUUACUAUUAAAAUAUUUAAAUGACCUAAAUUAAUAAAAACUAUUUAAAAUUAAAUAACUAUUUAAUUUAUAGACUGAAUUUUUUUUAAAAUUAUUUUCAGCCCUCAAAGGACAACUUUGAAAAAUUUUCAAAAAGUACAGGGACCAAAUCAUAAUUUGGCUAAGAGUUUCAUCUUCUUCCUUCGGAAGAUGCCCUAGCCGGCGCCCCCUUCUACACAGAAGCCCGUUGGACGCUCCAGCCGCCAACACAGGUCGCCGAGACAGUGCAACACUUGCGCUUUUAGCGGCACCUGUACAACGAUGCCGGCGUCCUUGAGAUCGGCAACAUCACGAAGGAAAUUUUGGUCUUCACAGCAAUUCCUCCCCAGCGACGUCUAGGCUGCUGGGUCCACACUGUGACCACUGUGCAUGCCGUCCAUGCAACGCCGGUCCAUAGGCUUGCGUCGGCCGCUGUGCACGUCCCUUGUCGACUAACGAACCUGGACAUGCGGUAAUCCUGAGAUUGUGUUCUCCCUUCAACACGAUUUAUUGUAAACAAUUUCCAACAAAAAUUAACUUUGAUCAAAGAACUAAAAAACAAUUUGAUUCCAAAUCAAGUAAUUUUUCGUGACAAUAAAUCUAGAAAAAUAUUUUUUAAAGAACACCAAAAUUUAUUAGCAUACACAGUUUAAUUUUAAUUAACCCAAUAAUAAACAUAAUGGACUAUUAUACUUUAAUUAACACUCUAAUACUAGUAUUAGAAUUUAAUCAUAUUAAAUGCAGCGGAAAGAAUAGGAAAAAAAUUUUUUUUCACAAAAAUGGAUCACGUUUAAACAAAUAAAACAGAGUAGGAGUGAAGAAAAUAAAUAUCUUUUAUUUUCUUUGCAGCAAAAUGUGAGAUCGUUCGUUUCAGUUGAUUAUUGCAAACCAUAAACCGUCAAAGUGCACAUUCUCUAAGGAUAUUCAUACGGAAUACUAAUAAAAAAACUUAGAAUCAUUCUAAGGAUCGAGAAAGAGAAGAGGUUUUGAAUGCGGGCCCUUUACUUUUUCCUACAAAUUAUGGAGACUCACCAAAGUCUAUCACACCCGACUUUUCAUAAGAGGUCCUUAUAUAUUAAAACCCUAGAAUUUAAGUAUAAUAUUAUUUAUUUAUUUGUUUAACUAAUUAAAUAAAUAAGUUACAAUUAUAUCUAAAACUUUAAUAAAUAAGUCAUAUAAAUCUUAGACAAUUUUAAUUUCUUCUGUAUUGUAAUAUCCAACUAAACUUCGGUGUUGAAAUUCUAACUUUUCAAAAAAAUCUACAUUGGAAUCCAAAAUUCCAAAAUUAGAAAUUUUAGAAGGGUAAAAUAGAUUUUUUAUAAAAUGAAUUUUAAGCAUUUUAUAAUGUGUUAAAAAAAUGAUUUUCAAAUCAUUAAGAUUCGGCCGCCGAACUCAAGCUGGCAGACCCAAAUUUUGAGAGUUCUUCUCUUUUCUUUCAGCAAAGGUGAACCUAAGACCUCUUGAUGAUUUUUGUUUUGAUUUUUCCAUAAAUCCUUUAUGAAUUCAUGGGUUUUACCUUUGUUUUGAAGAAUCAAGUUGAAUUUUUCGAGUUUGAGCCUUUAGGGACCCUUUGGAGUUCAUCUUAUCCUCUUUUUUGAGUCCUUGAUUGCUGUGACCAUUGUGUCUCCAAGAGAUAAGUUAUAAUCCUUACCUCUCUUCUGUUGCUUGAGUUUUUAAAGAAAUUUUAAGUUGUUUCAAUGUUUGAUAAUGCAUACAAAGUUUGGAUUUUAAGUUUUUAGUUUUGAGAUAGUGGAUGAUUUCUUGUUUUGAUGAUGCAUGUUGAAAUUUAGGUUAGUUUUAAGUGGUUCUUGGUGUGUUGAGUUGUAAAUGUAUGCUUUUGAGCUGUUGCAUGAGGGUUUUAUCUGUUAGUGUAUAUGCCCUAGGCCAUUAUCUUGGACCUUUUUGUAUGUCGUUUUGGUUAUUAAUAAAAGAGAUUUUUAUCAUUAUUAUUUGUUUGCAUGUUACAUAAUAAUGAUUAUCAUCCCUGGUUACUUAUAAUAAUGUUGAUAAUAAUAAAAUAUAACUAGUAUGAUUAUUGAUUGAUAAUCAUGAGAUGAUUAUGUAUAUGUUGAUAUAAUUCAAUAAUUAUAGAUACUUGUUAGAAAAUAAAGUAUUGGAUCGACCCGCAUUGAGAUCACUACAUGGGUUAUUGUCAUAAGUGAAUCUCAAAAUAGUUAUGUCUUAAUCCUUUGACUUGAGAUUGUCAUAGUUUCCAACAUAAGGACUGUUAUGUUUUGACAUAACCAAACAUUGUCUUUAAUCGGACAAUCAUAAAGGUUAUGAUUGAGCAUAAUAGAAAUUAUGUAGAGGAUAUUGAACAAUCAAGAUAGGAUUUGUUCCUCUCUAAUAGAGAUAUCUUCUGGGCCCCUCGAUAAGUGAGACUGAGAAAUGCAUGGCCGUGCUCAAAUGAAUUGAUAGUGUGAUCAAUAUCAUUUGAAUUUAUCAGUCUACUUAGAGAUGGAGAAAUCAUAAGUUUGAACAUUAUAAGUUUGACAUUGACCAUGAUUUAUGUUCAAACUAGAUAUCGUGUGACAAAGGGAUUAAUACAUGUUCUAUUUAUUAGGCUUUAUCGGACUAUUGAUCCUCAUAUUAAUUGGGUAGUCAUAAUGUCUUGCUAGAGGCCACUUAUGACUUAUGGGCCUUGUGGGACUGAGCCUAUUACCAAUUAAUGUGAGCCUAUUGGGUCACACACAAAAGAACGUUGUUGAUGUGCUAUGACAUAUUAAUGGGCUAAAAGCUCAAAGCCCAUUAAUAUAAUUAAUAAUAAUAAUGUGUUAUUAUUAUUAAUCAUUAAUAUAAUUAAUAAUAAUAAAGUGUUAUUAUUAUUAAUCAUUAAUUAAUAAUAAUAAAGUGCUAUUAUUAUUAAUCAUUUAUUAUUAUGAGAUAAUAAUAUUUAAAUAAUCUGCAGAUUGUGGAGCACAUAAUCUAUCUAUCUUUAAGAGAGCUAGCACUCUAGAAGGAUAGAAGACGUUCGUGUGGAUACCAUAGAGCACUACAAAAAAACAGUGAUUUAGUGACCAAAAUUUUGGUCGCUAAAAGGCAAAAUUUGGUCGCUAUUAUGAAAUAGCGACCAUUUAGCGACCAAAAUUAAAUGGUCGGUGUUUGGCCAGUAGCUAAAUUUUUGGCGACAAUCUGGAAAUUGGUCGCUAAAAUAGCGACCAAUCAGCGACCAUUUUUUGGUCGCUAAUUUGGUGUCAUGGCAAAUUAGGUAUUAGAAAUAUUAGUCGCUGUUUUGUCGUUAAAUUUUGAUCGUUAAAUGGUCGCUGUUUUGGUCGCUAAUUUGGUCGCUAUUUCGUUGUUAUUUGAUCGCCUCAAGGAAGAGCAUUUGGUUGCUGUGUGGAAGUAAAUUGGUCGUUAAAUUUCAGUCGUUAAAUGGUCGCUGUUUUGGUCGCUAGUUUAGUCGCUAUUUCGUUAUUAUUUGAUCGCCUCAGGGAAAAGCAUUUGAUCGCUGUGUGAAAGUAAAUUGGUGAAAUUAAAAGAGAGACUAAUUAAUUAUUUUUUUUAAAUAUUAAAAAUAUUUUGGUAUUUUAUUUGAAAUUGAAUAAUCAAAACAAUAAUUUUGUUUUACUAUAAAACGAUUUAAGUCCAACGGUUAGGAUAAUUACCUUCCAAGCAAUAGACCCGGGUUCGACUCCCGGCAAACGCAGAACUUUUGACUUUUUUACUUUUAAAAACAUAUCCUUAUCAUUCAUUUCAGGAAACUGCAAAAAUAUAGUGUACAUUUCUCGAAGAUCAAAACUAAUACUAACAAUAAAUUAAUAAAUACAAUAUAUGCAAGUUUUUAUAAAUCUGAAUUCUGACAUCUACCCUUAAUCUGACUUGUGCAGAUUAUGAAGGAUGUAUAAAGAAGCAGAUGACAAGAAAAUACAAACAGAAUAGCUUAGUAAAUCAAUUCCUGUAGCUAUUUUCACCAUUUUGCUCCUCUCAAACAUCUUCACCAGAAGAAUCAUAACAAUAACAUGUCCUACUUUUGUCUUCAGUUCAUCAAGUGAGCUAAUCUUCAUCCACUUUGGUCUCUCCUGCAAACCCCAAAAAAAUUCUUUCAAUUGCAUCAGAAAAAUUCCUGGAAAGUGAGCAAGUUUCUCAGGGAGUGAAAUUUACCUUCAAAGCAAACAUUCCAAAUAGGGAAGAGCCUUUUAGGGCUCGGUCGACAUGGGAAGGAACAUCAGGAGGCACAUUGCUGAUAAAAAUCCGUAUAAGCCCAUGCCGAAGAUUAGCAUCACAUUUCCAGCAAGAUAAACAUCUGCAUUCAGCAUAGAUAUAUCAGCAUAAAUGUUCAUCUUCAACAGAAACUUCAUAUUUCGGAUUUAAAAUAGGAAACAGCAUAAAUUGGACUUCUGAGAAUGAACUUCAGUGACAAAAUUCAAUACAUGAAAAUUGAUUGAGAGCACCCUACAUAUGUGUAUUCUCAAAAUUAGUUCCCCUAUAAAAUAUUUUGUGAAAUUAACAUGAAUGCUCUUAAGACUAGAAAAAUCAAACAAAGCAUUGAACUAAUUCUUAGAGAAGCUUACCAAUAGCUUCGACUAAGCGCAGAACCAUCUGUCCAGUGUGAAUUCCUUUAACACAGCUACUCCAAUAAACUUUGUAUGCAUCAAAAAUGUAAACACAACCCUGCAAUAGAUCAAAAGGGGUGACAGAAUUAAUCUCAUUCUGCACAUAAUUUUCUAUUAAUGUUGAUUUAACUGCAAUUCAUACACUUAAGCUAGAGCUAUUAGUUCACAUUUCAAAGCACAACCCUCUCAAAAGACCAAAACAACACAAGUUUUGUAUCAAAAGCAGCUACCAACUUAUGCAGAGAAAGGCAGGUGUACUCAGCCUCUCACUGUGGGAGAGAAAGCCAAUAAACUCCUUUGGACAAAAUACUAAAGCUCUACCAUCAUAAUUAAUUAAUGUAAAUUCCAAUUCUAUGCGACUGAAUGAAAGAAGUUGAUAAAUGCUGGGUAGAAGAAAGUACAUUUAAGAAGCACAAGAGUGAACCAGCUAAUGAGCCUCCAAUAGCCAGAAGUGCCAAAAAACGGAAAUCAAAGAUCACUUGCCACCAGUGAAUAUAAAAGGUGCUCCAUUGUCAGACUUGAUAUACAUAAAAGAAUCCAAUAAAAACGAUUUUAUAAGAAAAUUCAUGUGUCCAGAAUCAAUUUUAAAAUGAGAGUUCAUUUGAAUUCUAGUUUUUGGAACAGCUAACAACUAAAAUUAACGUCCUCAUUUUCUAUUUUGCCCUUAUUUACAAAUAAAUGUGAGUUAAAGUAGGUUGUUUUUAAGGGUUUUCAAUAGAACACUUCAUUAAAUGAGUCAGAAUUCUUGCAAAAUAAAGCCACUUUUGUCGUGAAUUCAUUUAUUUCAAAAUGACUUUUUAUAAAAGACCCAAAACAGUUCCCCUUAUGCCUUCUAAAACGACUAUAAAACAAAGAACCAGAUACAAAAAUCCCCAAUUCAAUGGCUCGAUGUAGAAGCUAGCAUGCCUGGAUGCAUUUCACAAUGAACAAAUAUCAUUUGUGUCUACAGAUAGUGUUUGCAUAUCAUAAACACUCUCCUUUCAGAACAUACUCUUUAUAAAAAUAAAAUUACUUACCUUUUACAGUUGCUGAUGAGGACUGAGGACUGAACUGAGGAAGACAGAGGAUUGAGGACAACCAAGUUGCUGACGGCGCGGAGAGCCGAUGGACUGGAGAGCGACGACCGACGAUUGCGUGGAGAGCGACGACCGACGCCGACGAUUGUGUGGAGGCCGCGAAGAGGCUCUUCUUGCAUGCAACACAUCAGAAAGCGAAAAAAAUGUCAACAACACAAAGAAGCAAGUACUGGGAGAGAGGAUUUGGGUUAGAAGCUAGAGAAAUUGAAAAAACCUUGGGAGAAAACUACAAAUCCACCAGUGACAGAGAGACUAGAGAGCGACAGUGAGGAGAGGAGGCAGAGGCAUGUGUGAUGUGAGGCGGCGUGGAAUGGAGAUUAGCUUCUCUACUGACUUUUAGAUUUAGGGCAAAUAAGGGUACAUUUCAAAACGAAGUAGUAUAGGUGAUUUUGGUUCGGUUCGAUUUAAUCGAAAAUUUUGAAUUUAAAACUGAACCGAACCCUAAUAGAACGGAUUUGAGUAGUUAUAAUCGGCUUUGGAAUAGGUUCGGGUUUUAAAAAUAAUACCCGUUGCGGAUUCGGAUCGAAUUCGGAUUUUAUGUACAGGUAUCCACUACCCGAACCCGUUUAUAUAAAUAAUUAAUUUAAUAUAAAAAAUAUAUUUUAUAAUAAUAUUUAUAAUUUUUUUUAUAUAUUUUUAUUUAAAAAUUUAAAUUUAAAUAUUCUUUAGAAAUAUUAGAUUUUUUAAAUGAAAAUUAUUAAUGAAAAAUAUUUUUUAUAUAAAUUAUUAAUUAAAAUAUAUAAAAUUAAACGGGUUCGUGUUUUAUUUGGAUAAUAAUAAUCGGGUUUGUAACGGAUUCGGAUAGUUUAAAUUAAUUUUUAUUCGGGUUCGGAACGGGUUCAGAUAUUACUAAUAUAAAUCGGGUUCGGAUUCGGGUAGUUUAAUUUUCGCAGAUACCCUACCCGUUUACAUCCCUAACGGAGAGAGGGAAGUGUGACUUGAGUAAAAUGAAAAAAAUAAAUGAGGGAUUACGGUUAGUUUUGUUAGUAUAGUUAAUUAGGGAUUAGGGAUUAGGGAUUAGAGAUUAGAAAUUAGGGAUUAGUAGGGGUGAGCAUUCGGUCGGUUCGGUUCAAAACCGAACCAAACUGAAUAAACCGAAAACUGAAAUUUUAGUGUUUAUGAAAAUCAAACCGAACCGAUUUUGGUCAGAAACCGAAUCGAACCGAACCGGUCUGAUUCGGUUUGAUUCAGUUCGGUUUGAUCGGUUUCGAUUUUUAAUAAUUUUUUUAUUUUUUACACUUUAUUUUUUGUAUUUUUAAAUUUAAUUAAAAUAUUUUAAUCUUAAUAUGAUUUAAUUUCUCUAUAUUAAUGAAAAAACAAAUUAUUAUCAUUAAUCGGUUCGGUUCGGUUUUUUCAGUUUUUUCUGAUCAAAACCGAACUGAAUCGAAAUAAUAAAAAAUUUUAAAAUUAAAAACCGAAUCGAACCGAAAUGUAUAAAAAACCGAACCAAAUUUUCAAAUCGGUUCGGUACGGUCGAUUUUUUCGGUUUAAACCAAUUUCUGCUCACCUCUAGGGAUUAGGGUUAAUUUUGUUAGGGAUUAUAGAUUAAAAUUAAGAAUUAGGGAUUAUGGUUAAUUUUAUUAAGGAUUAGGGAUUAGAAAUUAGAGAUCAGGUUAUAGUAUCCUUAAAUUAUCAAAACGACGUCAUUUUGUAUACCCAAUUCAAAUCACUUAAUUUAAAUUUUAAAAUUUUAAAUAAAAUAAAAUUUAAUUAAAAAUUAAAUUAAAAUUUUAAAAAUGAAAUGGUUGCUGAUUGGUCGCUAUUUAGCGACUAAUUAGUUUAGUCGCUAAAUAUGGUCGCAAAAUGGUUCGCGCCAUUAAUUCCCGCUAAAUUUAGCGACCAUUUUAAAUUUGGUCGCUAAAUAUCGACCAAAUAACGACCAAUUUUUGGUCGUUGAGCUUUUUGUUAAAUAAAAAUAUUAUUUCAUUCAUGUAGUAGCAGAAUGGUCGCUAAUUGGUCGCUAUAUAGCGACCAAAAAUUUUGGUCGCAAUUUCACAGUUUUUUUGUAGUGAGGGUGUUCGUUUGAAAAAGCAGCACCAUCAGUCUACCAUUAUAUCUUUUGGACGAGAUUAACAUGUUAGUCUCAUAUUCUUCUUGUGAAUUAAACGAAGCACUCAGAUUCUGGGAAAAGGAAAUCAGAGAAAUUUUAUUUUUUCGCUGCGUCUUUGGGUUGCAAUUAAUCUCGGGAUUUCCCAACAUUAUCAUAUUUGAGACUGUUGGCUGAGGCAGAAUCGGAUUUUGCAUUGCAAAAGAAUCCAUAUUCGGUCGUCAAACCUGCCUAUGAAGGCUUUCUAACUUGCCUCCAAAGGUUUGACCUUCGGAUUGUAAGGGGACUUUAAGCCACCGAACCAGCUGCCGAAAGUCCCUUGUCUAGUUGUUUUCAGCUCAUUUUCUGCAUAUUUUCUUAUAUGUUUAUAGGAGUUUUUUAGGGUAGUUAUAAGAGUUGUAAAAGUUAUGUUUGACCCCUCAUUUAACCCAUCUGUAUAGAUCAGACUUAAGAGACUGUAGAGGCCAACAAUGAGAUAACUGCUUCAAAGAUAGGCUUGCAUCAGCCAGAAGUGAGUAGAACUACACUAAACUAUUUUUUUAAAUAAAUCAAACAUUUUAAGUAUGCUCAUGCAUUCACGAAUGCCAUAUGUAUAUGAUUAGAUUAUUUUGCAUUAGAAUUCACGAAUAUAAUGCAUUGCACAAUUCAUUGUUAUUGUGGAUGGAUUUUGGAUGAUUCACUAGCCCUCGACCAUGCUAUUAUAUAUUAUGACGGAUAUGGUAAAGACCAGGGUUGCCCAUUCUAUGCCCCUAGCAUUAUGUUUCGGAAAUACUAAGAUUGCUCAUUCUACACCCUUGGCAUUAUGUAAGAGAAAAACUAGGGUUGUCCAUUCUACACCCUUGGCACUAUAGAUAUAUUAUAUUAUAUUUAAGAGGAAGUCCUGAGGAGCACCCGUUGUGGGUUGGGCACUAUUGAAAUUAUGGAGAGUUACUGGUGACAGUCCAUCUUGAUAUGUAUUAUUUGUGUUGUGAUCUAUUCAUAUAAUCAUAUGUUUUAUUAAACUAUUUUAUGAUUAUCUUUCUGCUCACUAGGCUCUUAUAGUUUAUCCUUAUCCCCUAACCUCAGGUUUGCAGGACCAAAGUUAGCUCGGGAGGUCAGCAGUGUUAUAUGGUAUAGUUUUGAUGUAAUAGUAUAGUUGUAGACAUGUAAUACAUAAUGUGGAUUAGAAUUAUAUUUUGCUCGAAUUUUCUUUUUAUAAUCACUUGUUUAUGAUCUUAUUAUGUAAAAGUUUUAAAGUUUAAGUUUUGUUUGGACCAAAUUGAGGUAUGUAAUGAUGACCACAUUGGAGUAUUUGAUGAGUGCUCUAGUAUGGGUUUUAUAUUUUCAAUUAUGUUGCAUGUACAUGCUGAGUUUUAGUUCAUGAGAUUGAAAUAUUUUUAUAUGUUUUUAUGAUCAUGUUUGAUAUUAUAUUAGGUGUAAUAGGAUGUAUAGCAGGCUUGUUACGGGCUCUGGCGACAUUGAGUCGAUCUAAACCCUGGCGCCAGCAGCGGUCUAGUUUUUGAGUCGUUACACCUACUUAAUUAAUUAGGUCAAAAUUGUAAUUCUUUUAAAUUACAAUUUUAUCCUAAUAUCAUAAAAUUUAUAUGCAAUCAAGUCCUACUUGAUUUGACUUCUCAUUUUAUUUUUUUAUGUUAUUCUUUAUGUGUAUGACGCAUUAGGUUCCAAAUAUGUUGGCAACAAAUAUAAUUAACUAAUUAGUUAAUUUUAAGGUCAAUAAUAUUAUCUAACAACAUGCUAAGACUACCCAAAUAUUUGGAAUGUCAAUAGUGAUUUGACUUAACCUUUCAGUCAAUAAUUUCUCAGUAUAAUUAAUAUCCCUUUAUCACAAAUGUCCCGAUUUAAUAUUUAAUACAUAGAGCGUGUCUACUAUGUUAAAUCAUAUUAGUUCUCAUUUAUUAGUUAUUGACCUAUUGAAUGAAAUUUCAAAUCUAAUUUACUAAUUUCAUUCCACCUUGCGCAAGGAUUUCAUUAUCAACGAACCAGAGAAUAAAUAGAACAUUCCUUAAGAAAACCUAGAGUGAUGAAUCCUAUCUCAAUUACGUAAACACUUUCAUACAGUUUCUACUAUAUCCAAUUCAUCUCUAUUUAUUACUCAUGAACUAAGUAAUGUGUAAGAUGAAUCAAAACAUAGAAGUCUCUAUAUAAGAUGAUUUGUUGAUUUCAAUUCAAAGAAUCUUAUACAACUAUCAUUUGAGUAAUCCAUAGACACACAUUAUUCUCCAUAUGAAUUUUUCAGGCAGGUCAGUUAAGUGUACUCAUUUAUAAAAUAAGUAAUGCACUUAUUUAUAAAAUAAGUACCUACAUAUUAGUUUUAGAUAUUUCAUAUAUAUCAACCUAUGAGAUUAGUUGCUCCUCUAAAAAGAAAGAACAUAAUAUGUAUCAAUCUCAACAGUUCUAAUCGUUGUCCAAUAACGAUAAGAACAAUUAAUAAGAACAUUUAGAGACAUUUCUGAAAUGCAAUAGAAAUCUCACGAUUAUAAGCACUUUAUAAUUUUUUUUACAUAAUAAUGUAGUUUCAUGAACUAACCUUUAUAUUAAAUAUAAAUAGAUGCCUUUAUUAAAAUGUAUUAAACACUUAAAAAUACAGAAAUAUAAUAUCUAACUACAACCAACCGAUGGGCUGUAGGACAUAUUACUAAUAGGAAUUGUUCUCUUACCUUGCAUGACUUUAGAAUAGACCUGAAUAGAGUUUAAAUUGCACUGCACUUUAAUGUGAUGUUUUGGUUGUUCGAAUUGUAGAGGAGAAGCUUCCCAAAGCUCCAAGCCAAAGGGAAAGGAGAAAGAAGUCAACUAGGAGCAACUAGCUUACUUUAGUUUGUGCUCACUUAACCUUUAAUUUGUGUAUGUCAAUUAAUUGUAUUUAUUGAGUAAAAAUGUGUAAGUUUACUAUAUUUAGAUGUUUUUGAGUGAUUCAUAUGCAUGGGAAUGAGAAUUGAUUUGAGUUCAUUAAGAUUGUGUUGUGAUGCUAAAAUUAGUAAAUUUGUUUGAAUAGUCCUUAUUAUUGAUAUUGUAACUUGUGAUGAAAAUAUUUAAUUGCUAUGUAAUUUAUACUAAAAUAAUCUUGAGACAUAUAACUAUAACUUUCAUGAAGACUAUAAGGUCCAAUCCUGUGAUUAAAGGCUUGAAAUAUAGGAAUAAAGUUGGCUUAAAGGAAAAGAUAAUGUUGGAUUUGUAGUGUUAUUUUUUAUCGUCUUAGUUUAAUUGGCAAUAAGUUGAGUUAUAAUUAUCCAAAUUAGGUAAUUAUUGAUGCUUUAGAAAGCUAAUAUAUUAUAAAAAAUACCCAUGCAUAUAGUUAGGUUAAAAUAAUAAAUCAAAUAAAACUUAUUUAAGAUUAAAAUUACUAUUGUUGCGAAAUUGAUGCCCUAUGUACAAUUUUGGUAAAUAAUGCAUAUAUGGAGUUAGAUAGGUCUAAAUGGUCUAAAACAUGUCUCAAAUGAAUCAUAUGGCACUGUCUUAUAACUUUUUAGAAGAGAUAUUAGCCUAAUUCUUAUUGGAAUUUGUUCUUCAAAUCAGAAUGAAUAAUACAUGUGAAUAGUACAUGUGAAUAAUACUAAACCUGAAACUUAAUUUUAAAUGGUUAUAGGCAGUUAGGAGAUAAAUGAGCAUAACUUGAUCUAGGAUUGUCCAUUUAACUUGAAAUUUAUAUCAAAUUAAAACUAAUAUAGAGCUAAAAAUUUAUAGAAGAUAAUUUUGCCAAAUUAUGUUGUUAACCUUAUAUUUAAAGCUACACAAGUCAAUACAAGCAUAGGUGACCAAACCAAGGUUGUUAGUUGCACCAUUUGCAACCUAGAGAGAAUGCACUAUAACUUGAGUUAUAGUUAUCCAAAUGAGUUGAUCUUUAUUUUUUUAGAAAGUUAGGUCAUAGAGAAACAAAUUUUAUGAGUUAAAUAUGCUUUAAACCAUGCUAAAAUUUGGCUACAAAAUUGAACAGAAAUCUGCCCUCUAGGUGAAAAAUAUAAAUUGAUUUAUUUAAUAUGUUUACUUACUAAGUAAAUGUACAUAUAAGUUAUGUAUACAUAUUAUGGCAACUAAUAAAUUGUUAUGCAUGUAUUCGUAUGAAGUUGCUAGUAGUUGUACACUCGAAAUAGAUGUCAAGAGGAUUUUAUUAUUUAAACUUGAAUGCACAAUUAUGUGUAAAAAAAAUGCAAAUACUUAAUAUAAAUACUAUUGGCCCUAGUGAGUUUCAUAAAAAUUGAUAGUUAGCAUAAGGAUGUGGUAUGUCAUACACAUUAGUAGUACUACGCUACAAUUUAUAUGAUUCGAGGGUUACGUUGAGGUGCUUUUUGGUAUGGCAAUGGUGCCUACCACUAUAGUUAUCAGCCUCUAGGCCUAUAGUUUGUACUUGGUGCAUACAAAUAUAAUCAUUCCUUGUUUAGCUAUUUGAGUUUGUUAAACUUAUAAGGGUUGGCAUUUAAAUCAAAACUACGUUAAGACAACAUUUUUAACAAUAAAUAUACUUUAUGAUUGAGAAUCACAGUACGCUUAAUGUCUUCUGAUAAUUGCAUUGUUUCCUUUAUGCUCUCGCACUUUAUUUACAUUUAUAAUGCAUGAUAUAUAUAUAUACUCGUUAUUACCAUGUUGCUUCUUUUAUAAUAACCUAUAAUUUGUAUGAUAGUGAGUAUCAGUAAGCAAGUAGCUUAGUGCGUAGAAAUUUCUUUUUCCUUGCACAGAUCGUAGAUAGUUGAACAGUUGAAGAGGGAUGGAUCUAUAGUCAGACAAUCAAAGUCACUUUGGAGUACUAGUAGUUCUACAUAUAUAUUGUUAAUGCAGCUUGCAAAUGGAAUAUAUAUAUAUUAUCAUCCUUUUCUUCAUGAAGGUAACUCAUAUUUGAGUAUCCUACAUUGUUUUAAAUUAUUAAAAGUAUUUUCAAUUUUUAAUUAAUUCACAGUUUUUGAGGUAUAUAGUAAAAUAGGGAAGAUUCCAUCAGUUUCUCCCUUUUAUGCAAAUAAAAUGUUACUUUUUAAUUUAGUAGUCUAAUAUUAAAUAAAAUAAAGUUAUUUUCAAACGAUUAUGAAAUAAUUUAGUGUGUGGUAUUUCCGACUCGAUUAAAAUAUUAAUCGAAUAGGGGAUGUUACAAAACCUCUUUACCCUUACCCUCUUUUUCGCUUCCAUAAUCUAAACUUUCCUCACCUCAUUCAAACAUGAUAUUAGGAGUGCGGGUGAAAAAAAAUUAAAUUUUCUCAUAAUAGAAUCCACUCAAAAAGGAUAUUUUUUUAGUUUUAUCAUUAUAUGUUUUAGUAUUUUUUUUAAGUGUAUUCAAAAUAAAUUAUUCUUUAUCUAGAGCCUAGGAGUCUAUUUAUAAAUUCAUUAUUUAGGAUUUUUGUUUUGUUAUUUUUAUAAUUUCAACGUUUAUAUAAUUCAUUAUAAGAGAAUUUUUCUAUUGUAAAUGAAGAUAUUUUUUUAUAUUAUUUUAAAAAAUAAUUGAUAAACUAAAUAGAUAUGUAAAAAAUAUAUAUUGUUUCUUUUCCUUUAUUUUCACAUGUAUAAAAAAAUUUGGUGACAUCACUCCACCUAUUUCAUAAAGCAUUGGACUGGUUUAACAACAGCUAUCUAAUACUUAGGAAAUCAUUGUAGGCCUUAAAAUAACUAUUUUAUCCGGAAAUACACAUAUCCAUAUUUUUCCAUUCUAUUUAUCUAGAUAUAAUCUAAGUGAGUUCAAGUAUCAAAUGAGCAUAUUUGCCAAAAACAAAUAUGAUUACUUCCAAAAGUUAUUUCAUUCAUUCUCUCUCUAUGUUAUUUACGGAACUAUAUUCAACGGAACUAUAUUCUUUUUGGAUUAUAAUGGAUGAUUAUUUUUCAAUUUCAUCUCUACUAUAAAAUGAAUAUAAAGAGUUUCUUCUUAUCUAUUUUUUCGUUAAUGAAAUGAUUAAAUAAAUACAUAAAAUAAUAAAUUAAAUUGUGAAAUUCUUUGCGAGUUCACUUCAUGUAUUUACUUAAUCUACUAACUAAAAUUUUAUUUUACAAAAUAUACAAGAUAUUAGCUACUGUUUCAAAUUUAUUAAUUUAAUAUGCAAACUCUAAAUAGUGAACAGGGAAGGAGAAAUAAUAUUUUCCGCUAUAUGAAUGAAAAAUGACAAAUCCAAUAAAAGAAUGAAAGAAUAAUACAUGUUUUAAGUACAACUGAUGAAAUCCCAGCGUCGUAGGCCUAAGAUAAAUUGCAUUCAGGAGGGAAGCCUUGCGGAAAUCUGUUGGCAUCAGUGCAAUAGUUGUAUAUCAUGUAGUUGUUCCUCACCCAUUGCAGCCUUUCUUGACUCGUUGAAUCAAGCUCUUCUGACAGCCAUGAAUUUGUCAUGGAGUUUGAAGUCCCACAGGAAGAUACCCAAUUAGACCAAGCACACGCAUUUGCACUGAAGUUUCUAUAGGAGGCAGUGAAUGGAGCCUGACUCCAAUCUGUCUUCACUAGACCACCUCUUGUAGCCCAAUCAUCAGCAUUCCAUAGACUAGAGUAAAUUCUCAUUGGCUGAUUCUUUGGAUAUGGAACUCCCAUUGAUUCCAAGUUCUUGAACUCUCUAAUUGGGGUGCCAUCUACAGAGAAGAUGAUCCUCUGGGGAUUCCAUAGAAUGGUAUAUGUGUGAAAAUCUGCAGUUGGGUCAAACCACAGAUAGAAUUGCUGCUCUCUGUUGCCUUUGCCUUGGCUAAAUACAUUAGUGUGGAGGAUGUAAGGAUCGCCGCUCAAAUUCCCCAAGAACUCAAAAUCAAUCUCAUCCCAAGUGGACCCAGUUGAUUUUAACUGCAGAUUCAAUUUCAAAAUCCACAAUGUUAGUAC
rnacentral:lncRNA from 1 species